rnacentral:lncRNA from 1 species
CAUUCCAUAUAGCUUUUGCAAUUGUUGUCUUGCCUAUUCCAGAUGUCCCCCAUAUCCCAACCAUGCGACGACCAUUCCCACCAACAUCUAAAAGCUUUUUCACAUCUUGGACACGAGAAUGAAUUCCAACUGGGUGCUUGGCCACAUUCCAAUAUGUACGGCUCAGUACUUGGCUUAAGAUUCCAUCAACGAUGUUGUUGAUAAAUGUAGUUUCAUAUCUGCCAGUUGAACCAAAUUUAAACAAAUCCAACCACGCAAAAGAACACAACAUACUCAAGUACGUAAUAGUUGUUCUGACCAAAAAAGAAAAAAAGAUGUAAUAGUUGUUUAACCACAAACCUAUGUUAUGUAUCAUUUAUACUUGUAUGCCUUUUGAAGAGAUUAAUAUAUGGAUUUUGAACUUUCUACUUACAGCUAUCAAAAAUACAAAAGUACCCAAGAAAAUAAAUCUUCUCACUACAGUUGUAUAUUUUUAUAACAGAAUACUUCUCACUGCGUAAUAGUUACUCAACUUGCCGCUAUUCGGUUUCACGUUUUUUUGUCAAGACGAAAUUAUCAUAUAAUACUUAGCAAGCAACAUAAAAUCCUACAAAGCAAUCUAAAGCAAACAUUAAAAAGUAGAUAUCAUCGGUUUUCAAAGUCGAUAUGCAAAAUGAUUUCUUACAGAGAAAUUAUUUGUUCGCUAGCUGAGUUGACUUUGGCUUACCUUGUUCUACUUCAAAUGAUGAAGUUUUAUGAUGGCUCGUUUGUGAGUGAUUCCGGAUAGGUCAAUAAUCACUUUUAUGGAGAAGUACAUGGGAAGUGUUUCUCUCCAUAAUCACUUAAAAUUAUUAAAAAUGAUUAUAUAAAGAAGUACGUAGAAGGUGUACCCAAUAAGUGACAGAAUAACUCGCAAAUGAAUUUGGUAGAUUUUCGUCACCAUUGGCAUAAGAGUUGGAUUAACAAAAUCGUAUAACACAGUACAAACAUAUCCUCGCUAGAUCAAGUUCCAAUGAUCAAUUCCAAUUGUGUCUAUAAUUUGAGCUGGAAAAAUUAAAAGGAAAUUCCAAUGCAAAAGUACUCGUAAUUUUAUAUUUAUUCAAUUUCCAAUAUUAUGAGUUACAUAAUUACAUUACUCUAUUGAGAAAAGUGGAGGGCAUCUUCAUCAAAACUAAAUUUAAGUAAUAUUUCUGGAAAUGUUACUUUAACUUAGGGGUGGGCAUCUAAAAUCGAAAUACCGAAAUCGUACACUAACCAUACUGUACCAUACUGAUUUCAUACCGUUUCAUUUGGGAUGGGGAGAUAAUCGGUACCGUAUCAAUAGAGUAUGGUAUGAUAGCGGUAUCAAGUAUUUGGUACCGGUCAAUACCGUACCAUACCGAAAUAUAAACAUGUUCAAAUAGAAACAUAUAUUUGUUGUGAUGAACUGUGAAGGUAGGAAGCAGAUUUUCCAAAGUCCCGUUUUGCAAAUUUGUACAUAUAAAAAAGAAGAAUUCUUGAGGCUGCUGGGGAUUUGGGUAGCUGUUGUUUACUUUCUUUGAUCAAUGUCUAUGAAUUGUAAUUUUCUUUUUGCAUCUUCUGUCAAAUUUUCUCGGAUAAUCAUAUCUAUAAGUUCAUUUUCAUGGCUUAAUUAAUGUAAAUUUCAUCCUCAAUUUUUGUUUUCCCCAUUUUUGCAAUUGAGUUGGGUUUUUUCCCCCAUAAUUAAUGUCUUGCACAUAUAAGAAAAUGUUGUAAUUUAAUAUGGGUAGCCAACAUUAUGAUGAAAAAAGUUGUGUUUUGUCUUCAAGCUUCAGUCUGAAGCUUUGGAUUCUCAAGGCAUAUCAUAUGAAUGAAUUAUGAAAUUUAAUAACUAUUUUUAUUGUCUCAUUCAUUCCGUCUUGCAUUUUUUAGUUUUGUCAUUUUAGUAUCGAUAUCGUACCGUUACUGAUUUGACACGGUACGGUAUUGUACCAACUAAAGUUUAGCGAAUCAUGUGAUGACUCAUACAAUACUCUCUAUUUCCAAUAUUCUGCAGUUGCUGUGGCUAUCCUGUACCCACCCACGUGUGGCAGCACAUAAGACUUGAUGUCUUUUUACUUUUUCUAAUUUUUUUUCAAUUAUAUAUUAUUAGUGUAUUUUAUAUGCUUAUUAAAAUAUAAGUUUCGCCUCAAAAUAUGACAUCGAAAAUAUUUAUAAAAAAAAAAUUAAAAUUAAAAUAAAGAUCUUCUCCCUGCAAUUUAAUAAUGAGUAACAAUUAAAUGUGUAACAAAUAGUAAUGAGAAAGAAGAGAGAAAAAAAAUUAAACAUAAAAAUGAUAAAGAUAGAAAAUAUACGUACUCUCCAUCCUUGAAAGUAUGUCCGGACAAAUUUGCUGCUUCUGUAAGAGCUUCCCUCCAUAUGAGCACUUUCUCCUUGUCAUUCUUGAAUUUCCUUUUAAUAAGUUCUUCAAAUGCGUCACCAAAUUUACUUUUUUGGUUUCGCACAUGAGAUGGAUCCACCUUGUAAAAAAUGGGCAAAACUACUUGUUGCUUUGAUUGUUUACAUUGAAGGAUCUUGACAAGUUCAUCCAAGCACCACCUCGAAGAUGCAUACUUUUCAGAGAAUACAAUGAGAGAAAUUCUUGAUUCUUCAAUUGCUUUGACAAGGGCUGGGGAUAUUUCUUCUCCUCUUACAAGCUCUCGAUCAAUGAAGGUCCAGAUUCCCUUACGGACUAAAGCCUUGUGCAAAUGAUCUGUAAAAUUGAAGCGUGUAUCCCCACCUCUGAAACUCAAAAACACAUCGUAUGAAAAAGAAGAAGAAGAAGAGACUGGUUGAGUGGUCAUAGGGGGCAGAUCUGAAGGAAGUUGAGGUUGAGUAGCCCAACUCCCUAUACACCUGAAUAAGGAUUUGAAGAACAUCGAAGAAUUGAAGAAGAAGCAGAGAGAAUCUUAUCUGAUUUUGUAUUGAUUUUCUUUCUUAAUAAAACGAUACAGUAAGAACUAAGCUUAUAUGCAUGACAAAUAGCUUAAGGCUUAAACAAACUCAACAAAAUCACGUGCUCUCCAUGUGCCUAACUCAACUAACUUGUGCAUUCAUCAGGAUAAACUAAACAUAAGCUCAAAAAUUGGGUAUGGUAGUGGAGCCCUAGUUAGAUUUAUGAGGUCUUUCAGUGCAAGUAGUUGUAGACUAGUCAGCCGAAGCAGUUUCUUUGUAAUGCGACGGUACCUAAAACGUGUUGAGAUGGUCUUUUAGUGCAAGUAGUUGAAGACUAGUCAGCCGAAGUAGUUUCUUUGUAAUGCGACGGUACCGACAACGUGUUGAAGUGAAGGGUAAGGAACCCGUUUUCUUUGAAAUGAUGGUCUUUUAGUGCAAGUAGUUGUAGACUAGUUAGCCGAAGCAGUUUCUUUAUAAUGCGACGGUACCUACCACGUGUUAAAGUGAAGGGUAAGGAACCCGUUUUCUUUGAAAUGAUGGUCUUUCAGCGCAAGUAGUUGUAGACUAGUGAGCCGAAGCAGUUUCUUUGUAAUGUGACGGUACCUACAACGUGUUGAAGUGAAGGGUAAGGAACCCGCUUUCUUUGAAAUGAUGAUCUUUCAGUGCAAGUAGUUGUAGUCUAGCCAGCCGAAGCAGUUUCUUUGUAAUGCGACAAUACCUACAAUGUGUUGAUGGUCUUUCAAUGCAAGUAGUUGUAGACUAGUCAGCCGAAGCAAUUUCUUUGUAAUGCGACGGUACCUACAACGAGUUGAAGUGAAGGGUAAGGAACCCGCUUUCUUUGAAAUGAUGGUCUUUCAGUGCAAGUAGUUGUAGACUAGUCAGCCAAAGCAGUUUCUUUGUAAUGCGACGGUACCUACAACGUGUUGAAGUGAAGGGUAAGGAACCUUCAAGGCAACUUCUCCUCUGGUUGAGCUAAUAGUAGAGGAAAAUGUAAUGAUUCUUUUGGGUAUUAAACUCCUUGCAAGAGAAGAAAAGAAAAGAGAUGGCAGCCACAAUCGCAUCAUAACUUCUUAUAAUACUUCAUAGGCCAUAUGUCAAUGCAUCAUAACUUAUUCUGAGUAAUAUGAAAUUUCUAUUUUCACUAAAUCAAUAUAUAAAAGUGAUGGCUAAAAAUGAUUUAGGCUAAAAAUCAUGUGAUCAGUUAAAAGAUUAGAAACUCACUAGCAACUUGACUAGCAGUUUCCACUAGCUCACGAGCUGAGACCUCAGAGGAGAUGAGGAUCACAAGAGCAAACAUAAAGCCAAGAAGAAGAAAAGUCUUGGAGGAUGAUGCCAUGUUUUUCUUAACAACACAAUUUAGAUGAAGACAAGAUUGUUGAGUGAACUUAAUGUGGCUUCGCCUCAACCAGUUUAUAGACCCUUGAGGAUAGAGUGGGUGGUGGGGGAAGAGAGGGAGAGAUAAGAAUUUCUGUGGACAUCGUUGAACUGAAGACGUACGCCUAAAGGAGAGGAACACUUGAAACCUAGUUGAUCACAUUUUGUGGACUUAAUUUGAAAAAAAAAACACUCAUUUUUUUUCCACAAACGUUGAUGGUUUGUCUCCUUUUGUAAAUCAUUUAACGAACAGAGAUGAAAAUCAAGUCUACACAUAUAUCUUCAAUAAAUAAGUUUCAAAUGUCUUUGUAUGCCUUUUGGUUUUAUGAUUGAACUCUUGUUCUCAAAAAGUUUCAUAUGGACGUCAAGGGUGGAAUCAGGAAUUUUUCAACGGGUGGGCUAGCUAAAGUUAUUAGCUUAAAAUUUAAUGAUUAUUUUUUUUGGUACUUACAAUUUCUAUAGUCUUUCUAGAAAUAAAAGUAAACAUUAAAUCGUAUAAACCAAGCUAGUUCAUAGCUCCAUAGACUAAUUUUUAAUAAGUUUUAACAUAAACCAAAUAGGGUUUAACACCAUAGUAGAUUGAACAUCUAAGGCUUUUUACCUAGAUUUAGGUUCCUUCAUGCAUUCAUAUCAUACAUGAAAAGUUGUUUUAUGUAAAAAUAUUGACUAAGUAUGAAAAAUGGAUUUUCAGAAAAAUCAUUUUCUUAAGAUAAUUUUUGGCGGCUUUUAUUCUUCACACAUCAAAUAAGAAAACUUCAUUUUAUGGGAUUUUAGUAUGAAGUAUAUAUUGAUUUAAUGGCAGCUACAAAAGUCGUCAAACGCUGAAAUUUCUAUUUUCACUGACGCGCUUUCUUCCAAUACAAAAGUGAAAGUGGGUAAGGAGCCUUCAAGGAACUUUCAUAAAUAAAGACCAAAGAUUCUUGCCCUUUUCUAACUCCUAGCGACUGUAGCCUUUAUUCUACUUACCCUAUUUUUUCUAAAUUAAUUUAUUCACACAUUGACUUAUAUAUAUAUAUAUACCUUUCGUAAAUAAAGACCAAAGAUUCUUGCCCUUUUCUAACUCCUAGCGAUUGUAGCCUUUAUUCUACUUACCCUUUUUUUUCUAAAUUAAUAUAUUAACACAUUGAGAUAUAUAUAUAUAUAUAUAUGCUAUAAAAUGAACUGGGAUAUGUGCGAAUAUUGAGCUGCACGUAAAGUAGAUGAGACACAGUAUUUAACGAGGUUCGGCUAUGCCUACGUCCUCGGAGAGCAACAGCAGUAACUUUUCACUAUAUGAAAUAAUAGGGCUACAACUUUAGUGUUUACAAUAUGUAUGACUCACUCAAUUUUCUCUCUUGGAGAAUUUCUCUCUUGCUCUCUUUCCUCUCAACUCACUCACCCUCAUUCUUCCUUAUCUUCCUCUUCUCUAUGUGUAAACUUCUCUUGAUGGAGGUAUCUAUUUAUAGGCCUAAGACAUUGGUUGUUCACCUCACAAUAUAAUUGGUAGACAACAUCAUUAAUAUUCUUCAAUCAACAACAUCAUUAAUAUUCUUCAAUCAAUUGGGUAGUGGUUUGGUUUGGUGGUUGAGUGGUUAGGUUUAGUGGGUGUUAGUUGGCUAUGUGGGCUUCACCUAUUCUUCUUUACUUAUUCUUCUUUACAACACUCCCCCUUGGAGACCACAUGUCCCUAGAUUGGUUGCCUCAUUAAAACCUUGCUUGGAGAAAAACCCUGUGAGGUAGAAAACUGAUGGAAGGAAGAAAAAAAAAGAGUACAGCAAUCUGUAUAGCAUACUUCUAGAUGCCCCCCCUGAUUAAUAUCUCCCCCUGAUGUCUUCAUGACUAUCUUUUGGAGUGAGAAUCUUUCGGAGUGAGUGGAGGAUAUAGCCAUUAAUAAUUCUCGUAGUUGAGUAAGUAAAUAUAUUUCCAGUGAGCUAUCUCUAUGUAAAUCAUAGAAAUUUUCAGAGUCCGCGUUUCUAACAAAACUUGGGCUAUUUGUAAGUUCACUUGAAAGAAUAUGCCCGUACAUGGUGUUAUGCGGAGAUAGCAUCAAAUAUACCUCACAUCAUCCCAAAAUGAUGGUGAUGGAGUUGAGCCCUAUCUGGAAAAUAUGAUGGCCGGUCCAAUAUACUUCCGGAAAAUCAUUAAAGUGUCCAACGGAUAAUACUCAUAAAAAUGCUUCAAUACUUUCUUAGUAUAAGCAAGAAUCUCGUUGGUAUAAUGCUCGAUCCUUAAGUCGAGACAAAUAUUUCGUGAAUUCUGCAGAAGCUUUAAUGUGUUGCAAUCACAUUAUAAUCAAUGUACUCAAUGAGGUAAUUUAUGCAUAUUAAUAUUGAGUACAAAUUUUGUGCUUCAAGCACAUGUUUUGUGCUUCAAGCACAUGUCCUUUAGGGACUUGCUUUAUGCAAUUGUCAAUCUUCUCAACGGAUUUUGUCUAAAAGGGAUUAAACUUUAUGACACAUUAUAUAGCUUUAACCCAUCUAUUUAUACAUCUUUAGGGAAUCGCUUCUGGCGAUAUGCUCCGUGCAUUUAAUAACCCUUAAAGAUAAUAUGUUGGUCUCCGUAAUUGUGUAAUAAGGGUGGAGAAAACCCAACAUUCCUUGUUUCUGCUAGAAAACAGUGUGUCAUACAAAGUAGGUAUAUUCCCUUUUAUUCCGAACACCCAAGUAUAAAUUCAGUAUUAACAAAUUUUGGGGUUCGUAUUGUGGGUUUGUUCUUUCACGUUCAUUCUCAUUUAUAAUGGAAUUACCUCGUUCCAUUUUGGCCAAUGAUAUUGUCGACAUUUAAUAAUUGAACGUGGUUCCAAUCAACACGGCCCAUUGAUGAUUCGAGUAGCUACUCAAAAACCAAAAAUUGUCAUUCAUCAAUUCAUAAUCUCACAAUUCUCAUGUGCAUGCGCAUGCAUCAAUUAUAAGCAUUUCUUUUGCUUUUGGGUACCCAAGCCACUUCAUGGGGCUUUUAUUAUGUGAGAAUGUGGAUUAUAACCUCCAUUGGAGCGUUAUUUUACAUAGGGCGUGGAAAAUCUCCAUUUAGGGAGUUGGAACAUUUAGAACCCAUAUAUCUGUCAUGCUGCAGGCAUGCCACAGAUUAAUACAUACAUGUCAAUUAAUUUCUGGGACUUUAACCCAUAUUAUGGGACUUUAACCCAUAUAAUUUGUUACGCAUUAGGCGUGCAUAAUAUCAAUAUUGACAUGUCAAAGGAUUGUCCUUUCGGGACUUCAAUCCAUAUCAUUUGCUACGCAACAGGCGUGCACCCAUAUAUCUGUCAUGCUGCAGGCAUGCCACAGAUUAAUACAUACAUGUCAAUUAAUUUCUAGGACUUUAAUCCAUAUUAUGGGACUUUAACCCAUAUAAUUUGCUACGCAUUAGGCGUGCAUAAUAUCAAUAUUGACAUGUCAAAGGAUUGUCCUUUCGGGACUUCAAUCCAUAUCAUUUGCUACGCAACAGGCGUGCACCCAUAUAUCUGUCAUGCUGCAGGCAUGCCACAGAUUAAUACAUACAUAUCAAUUAAUUUCUGGGACUUUAACCCAUAUAAUUUGCUACGCAUUAGGCGUGCAUAAUAUCAAUAUUGACAUGUCAAAGGAUUGUCCUUUCGGGACUUCAAUCCAUAUCAUUUGCUACGCAACAGGCGUGCAUCAUAUUGAUCACUGCUAUACCCAUAUUCUGUUCUUAUGGUACAUUAAUCUGUGCAGUGUAUUAUCAAUGUAUCCAACUUGCAAUCUGUAAAAUUUGCAUUAAUAAUUCAUGGAUACAUACAAGCCAUUCUUUUGGAACGGACUUAUCUCCCCAUUUGGUUACCUUUCAAGAUAAAAUAUCAAAUAAGUAUAUAAGCAUAAAAUAACACAAGUAUUGCUUACAUCCUUAGGUGGGAGAAACUUUUCUCAAGUAUCAUUCAAGCUCGUAUCAGCCCAGUAAAUAUAAUGUAGCGCUUGAUGAUCUAGUUAUAUCCUGCAAGAGCAAAAAUCACAACUCUUUUGCCUCUGUUAAAACAAAUAAACCUCACAGUUAGGAUCACUUCAUGGAUUCAUUCUUCAGAUGUUCAUUCUAAAGAAAUAAAAUCUCUUAUGAACAGAGAGUUAUAAAAAGAGAAAAAAUGCAAAAAUAAUGUGAUAUUGAUUGCAAGAGAAGGUAAGCAAUCAAGGAAGGAAGCUGGUGGGAGCAGACAACAAGCUCAGCAAUCAAGGAAGGAAGCUGGUGGGAGCAAACGACAAGCUCUCAUUUCUUCUAGUUUAGAAGAACUUCCGGAGAUUAGAGCAUAAGGUUGCCUUCACAGUUCCCUGAUGUGGCGGGAACGUGAUCAGGGGUAGUCUCGCUUCCUGAAUGGAUGAUCAGAGAUAGUCUUGCUUCUCGGGCAUAUUAAGUGCUCACUGAUAAGAAAAACAAGUAGAUAUCGCAUCACUAGGUAUGGAGAAAACUGGAUGUCUUCUGCAAAGAAAAUUUCGUUAGUAACACAUUUAUACACAAAUACAAUGAAUAGGUAGAACCGGUGAAUUUCAAAUUAACCAUAAGAAAAUUGCGAGAUUCUCGGGGUACUUUUGAAAAAGUAGCUCCGUGAAAUCCGUAAAGCAAGAUCUGCUUUUGAUGAAAAUAAAACUUUGAAAACGCCGAAAGUGCCGACAAACAUUUAAUGGAGGCCACGUGAAGUUUUGGAAUCUGGGAAAGAAAAAGAUAAUAUGGGGAUCUGAGAUAAUAUUGGGAUUCUGGAAACUGUAGCCAUAUUUCCUCCUAUAGAUAUUGCCUUUGCAAAACUUGAUUGGAGCAACUGCGUUUCAACUUGCUCCUUUCCUGUAUAAUAAUUGCGCACAUUCUUAAAAUUUGCACCUGUGGUUUUUACGUCUUUUCAAAAUGACGGUUUGGAACCUUGUGCCUUAUAGGUUCAAAUAACCACAUCGACUCUCCCAAAUUUCAUAUUUCAACGUAUGGGAGCCCGGAACUUUUGGCCUGGGCUAAACACAAACUCAUAAUUUAUUUGCCCUUUUCAAAAUGGACAUGAAAUAUGAAUUGAGUAAAAGCCACGCUAAUAUCUCAUAUAUUUGGGUUCAUGAGCUUCCGGCCCAGAUAUAACGAAAUAUGUGGGGAGCCUCAAUUCAUCAUUCUCUUAUGCCAAAGAGAUAUGUGGCGUACCACAAUUUGCAAUAAUACCUCAAGGGUUGUCCAUUUAAUUGUUGGAACUUCAGGUUCUCAACACUGUUAGAUUUUGAACUUCUGGCCAAAAUCACAUAUUCUCAUGGUAUGGACAUUCAACCCCCUUAGAUUUUGAACUUCGGGCCAAAAUCACAUAUUCUCAUGGUAUGGACAUUUUUAUAAUUUUCUGUACAUAUUUCUGGACUUCAAGCCCUUACAUAAUUGUCCAUAUUUUGAGGAACUUCUAGCAUCUCAUUUAAUUGCUCAUCCAUGAGUUUAAGGAACUGCAGGUUCCCUCUUUGAAUAGUGAUGGUUUACCCAAAAUGGUAAAUAUUUAUGCAUACAUCACUAUUCAUGUAUACAGCACUAUUCAUGUGUACAGUACAUUUGCCAGUACAGUUAUCAUCUAUGUGUACGGCAUUAUGAACCAAUACGGUACUGUUACAUCAUUAAGGAACCCCAGGUCCUUAUUUACAUGUCAGGGAUCAAGGACCCUCAAGUCCAAUUACAUGUUUACAAAUAUAGUACCGGAGAGACUGCCAGCUCUCAUAUUAACAUCAUCAUCAAGGAUCUUUAAAGUAUAAUUUUUGGGUAGUCUAGGGUAUAUAUUAGGCUGUAAAACCAUAAACCCUUUUAUCAACUUAAUUUUUAAAAUUAUAUAAUUUAGUUUUAAGGGUUUAGGGUAUUAAUUGUUAACGACGGUGGUUGAGUCGUGGAAUACAUAUGUUACGUCGUGUAGUAAAAUAUCCGACAUGGUUUCCACUUUAAACGACGUCAUUUUAAUAUGUAAGUCGUCUAUUAUAAUUUACAACGUUUUCAAUUUGUUAACUUCGACGUGGUUUUUCAGUCGUCUUUAUAUCAAAAUAUUCAAAAUAAAUUUAAAAUUAAUCCGAAAAAUGAAGCGUCAAAAUAAACGGCGUUACGUUCAGUGUUUCCGUCGUGGAAUAUUACAUUUACGUCGGUUCUUGUAGAACUUUCGCCAUGGUUUUUCUUUCGACGUUUUAAAGAGCGCGCACUCUAAAAAUUUUCGCGCGCCCUAAAUUUUUUUAUAUUUCGCUCUUAUUCUUAUACUUCUAACCCUGAACCCUAAAAUUUUCAGAUUUCGCGCAACAUAACAUUCGCUCUCUCACUUCUGCUCUAAUUAAAAGUUGCACUCUCCAGGCUCCGUCGAAUCUGUGAGCUCGUCCAACCUGUAAGUACAAACCCUAUCUUCCCCUUGUAAAUUCAUUGAAUGAUAUUAGGUUGUUUUGUUAAAGGGUUUUAGGUACAUGCUCUGUGAUCUGUUAAUAAUGUGCUUAUAGGUAUGGGUUCAUGGAUUUUCUGUUUAAUGGGUUCAUGGAUUACAUUAUCUGUUAUGUUGAAUUGGGAAUGGUUUUAAUUUUGUCGGAUCUUUUAAUCACCCUAUGUUAUGUUGAAUUGGGAAUGGAUUUAUUGUUUUCAUGCUUGGUUUCAUGUAUAUGUUGGUUUCUUGCUUGGUUUCAUAUAUAUGUUGUGUUCUUAAUGGGUUUUGGGUUCUUGAAAAUAAACUGAGACACGACGCCUUUUUAGGCAUACGACGACGAUUACACGACGGUUUAUGAAAAAACCGUCGUUGUAUUACUUAUACACGACGCUUUUUUCAUAAACUCUCGUUUGUAUUACUUAUAUUAGACGAUGUCUGUUGAAAAUCCGUCGUCUAUAUAUGCCAAAUACGUCUGUUUUUGUUUAAAACCCGUCAUCUCUGUUGUGUAUUACUUGCUAUUAGAUCUUUGUAUAAUCUGCUAUAGUGAUGGUCAUUGCCUGUAUUUUCACUUUAUUAUAGAUAAUAGGUUAUAGUGUCGGAGAUGGAUAAGUCAUAGAUGCACUCGGAUAGAAGAUCGAAGGCAUAUGAGUUUGGGGUGGAAGCAUUUUUGAACUUUUCUGUAGAAAAUCUUCUAACUACAACACAUAUCCGUUGUCCAUGUGUUAAAUGUGUUAAUUUGAAGUUGUUUGGGGUUGGAAUUAUAAGGGAUCACUUAUACUUUAAUGAAAUUGGCCAAAGCUAUAAGAAUUGGACAUUUCACGGAGAACCUUGGGAAGCAACUACUAAUGCUAGUAGAAAUGUUGAAGAAGAUGAUGGCCAUAGUAGGUACAGUUUUGUGUUUGAAGAAAUUGAUAUGGAUGACAAUGAUUUUGGUUCCAAUCCGUAUGAGUUUGCCAAUGUGAUUGGGGAUGGAGAUCAACCAGUGUACCCUGGUUGUAGAAAGUACACGAAGUUAUCGGCAUUAGUGAAGUUGUAUAAUUUGAAGGCAAAACAUGGGAUGAGUGAUGUCUGUUUUACAGAAUUAUUGAUACUUCAAGGCGAUUUGCUUCCAGAAGGAAAUACAAUACCAACCUCUAUGUAUGAGGCUAAAAAGACUUUGUGUGCAUUGGGGCUGAGUUAUGAGAAAAUGCACGCAUGCCCCAAUGAUUGCAUCUUGUAUAGGAAGGAGUAUGAGGAUUCAACUAAUUGUCCUACUUGUGGUAUCUCAAGGUGGAAGGAAGGCAAAGAUUCAAUCUUGAAAGAGGGUGUGCCAGCAAAGGUGGUGUGGUAUUUUCCUCCAAUUCCAAGGUUUAAAAGGAUGUUUCAAUCACAUGAGACAGCUAAGAGUUUGACUUGGCAUGCUGCUAGAAAAUCAAUUGAAGGUCAGAUGUCUCAUCCGGCGGAUUCCCCGUCUUGGAAACUUCUUGAUGAUAAAUGGCCUGAGUUUGGUAAUGAGCUGAGAAACUUGAGAUUGGCUCUUUCAUCUGAUGGAUUCAAUCCCCACAGUUCUCUAAGUAGAAGAUAUAGUUGUUGGCCGGUUAUUUAGUUACAUAUAAUCUCCCUCCAUGGCUGUGCAUGAAACGAAAGUUCAUGAUGUUAACCUUAUUGAUUUCCGGUCCUAAACAACCCGGAAAUGAUAUAGACGUCUACUUGGAGCCUUUGAUUGAUGAUUUAAAAUCUUUGUGGGAUGGGAUUAGAGGAGUGUAUAAUGCACAUAAUGGAGAAUACUUUACACUCAGAGCUGCAUUAAUGUGGACAAUUAAUGAUUUCCCCGCCUAUGGAAACUUAUCUGGUUGUGUUGUUAAAGGAUAUAAAGCUUGUCCAAUAUGCGGCGAAGAUACACCUAGUCACAGGUUGAAAAAUGGCCACAAAAUUUGUUACAUUGGGCAUAGAAAAUGGUUACCAAUCAAUCAUCCAUAUAGGAGGCAACGUACAGCUUUUAAUGGGAAACCUGAAUAUGGCAUACCUCCCGAGCCAUUAACCGGAGAAGAAGUGCUGCAUAUGGUUGAAAAUGGUGACAGAGUUUGUUGGAAGAAGAAAUCAAUAUUCUUUGAUCUCGAGUAUUGGAAAUACCUUCCUGUGAGGCAUGCCCUAGAUGUUAUGCACAUUGAGAAGAAUGUUUGCGAUAGUAUCAUUGGUACAUUGCUGGAGAUCCCUGGAAAAAAUAAAGAUGGGAUUGCUGCUCGAUUAGAUUUAUUGAACAUGGGGGUCAAAACUGAUUUGCAACCCGAGUAUGGAGAAAGACGUACUCGUUUGCCUCCUGGGCCUUGGAAUUUGUCAAGAGCAGAGAAGAGAGAGGUUUGCAAUUCUUUCUAUGGUAUGAAGGUGCCUGAAGGUUAUUCUUCAAAUAUUAAAAAUCUUGUAUCUUUACAAGAUUCAAGACUUCUUGGCCUUAAAUCACAUGAUUGUCAUACCUUAAUGCAACAAUUGCUCCCUGUGGCAAUUCGUUCUGUUUUGGAGAAGCCUGCAAGGUAUGCAAUAACUCGUUUGUGCUUCUUCUUCAAUGCUAUAUGUGCAAAGACUGUUGAUGUUUCCAAGCUAGAUAAGUUGGAAGAAGAUGUAGUAGUUACUCUGUGUUUGCUUGAGAAGUACUUUCCCCCUUCAUUCUUUGAUAUCAUGGUUCAUCUAGUAGUACAUCUUGUCAGAGAAGUUCGUCUAUGUGGGCCAGUAUAUUUUAGGUCGAUGUAUCCGUUUGAAAGAUAUAUGAAAGUGCUGAAGGGGUAUGUUCAGAAUCGUACUCGUCCCGAAGGUUGCAUUGCUGAGCGGUAUAUAGCUGAAGAAGCGGUAGAGUUUUGUACUCAGCAUUUAUCUGAUGUUAGUACAGUUGGAGUGCCUUCAAGCCAAAAGAUAGGACUUUCAAAGCCAUUAUCAGGUUGCACAGUGAGCGUAGUUGAUCAGGACCUGUUGAAUCAAGCACAUCUAUAUGUCUUGGAGAAUACGGAGGAAGUCCUACCUUAUAUCGAGUACGUAUGAGUUUUAUUCUUUAACUUAUUGAUUUUAAAUUAUUUCUUAUGUUUAUCUUCUAUAUUUGGGACCGUAAUGCUUGAAUUUUUCGUGUCAUGUAGGCAACAUAUGAUCCACAUCAAGACUGCUUAUCCAAAAUUUAGAAAGAGAACAAAGUGGCUGCAGGAUAAGCACAAUAGCACUUUCAUUCAAUGGCUACGCUUCAAGGUAUAUGUUGUUGAAUAACAUAUUUCUCUUUUAAUUUUCUUCUUAUUUCUAUGUUAGAUUGAAUUAAGAUAUGAUUAAUUUGAGGAAGACAAUCAUGGCGUAUCAGAAAAUUUAAGGUGGCUAGCAGCUGGUCCAAACAUGGCAGUGCCAUUAUAUAGGAGCUAUCUUAUUAAAAGUAUUAAAUUCAAUAUCAAGGCACAAGAUGAUGUGCGGACAACUCAAAAUAGUGGAGUUUAUUUACUUGCACAUACCAUGCAAGUUGCUAGUGCCAAGGAUAAAAACCCAAUUCUCUCAAAUAUGGGUUUCUAUGGUGUCAUUCAAGAAAUUUGGGACCUUGACUACCAAAACUUUACAAUCCCAGUCUUUAGGUGUGAUUGGAUAGAUAGUUCUGGUCUUGUAGUCGACGAACUUGGAUUUACCCUUGUAGAUUUGAGUAAAAUUGGACAUAGGAAUGACCAAUUUGUUUUGGCUUCUCAAGUCAAACAAAUAUUUUUUGUUGACGACCCGAUGCAUCGUGGUUGGUCGGUAGUGUUAUCAAUGCCUAAUAGAGAAUAUAAUGAUGUUAUUGGUGAUGAAGUCUUAGGUGAUGUGAUAAUUGAGUGUGAGCCAUUUACUAGAGGGAUGCCAAAUGUUGACACAUUUGAUGAACUGGUGGGUGAGUUAGGCGGUCAAAAUAUUCGAGAUGGAUGUGAAGAUAUAUGGAUUGAAUGAUGCUUAUGUAAUUGGCAGUGUAUGACAUUAAUUUUGUAAUAUAUUGUAAUGUGAUUUCUUCACUUUCUACGUUCAAAUAAAACACGACGUUAUUGUGAACCAGUUAUUCAGCAUAUUUACCGACGUCUUAAAGCAACGUAACAAUGAAGAACCACGAUGCUAUUGUGAAGCAAUUAUUCAGGAUAUCACGUCGGGAAGGAUUAAGAACCGCCGUGUAAUUCAAAAUAACACGACUCCAAUCCCAUAAUACCGACGUCUAAAAAAUGAGAUAUAUAAUCUGAACGUUAAAAAAUACGACGUCAUCAUACAUUUUCCACGUCGCAAGUUCUUUUAUAAACGAAGAGGAACGAAAUGAAUUCCGACGGUAAUUCAUUAUAACCGCCGUCUAAUAUCAAUUAAACGACGUUAUUUGUAAUACGGCUCUCAUCAUAAUCAACGCCGUCUAUAUGUUCUGUAAUACGGCUCUCAUUUAUUUGGAACCGACGUUGUUUAGAAGUUCAACAUCGUCUAUAUUAAUAAGUGCGUCGUGAGUAAUGAAUACAUAUAAAUACAACGUCGACUACAUAAAUGCCACCGACGUUGUUUCGCAUUCAACGUCAACUAUAUAAAUACAUACGUCAUAAAUAAUGACACUGACAACUAUUUCCACGUCAUCUUUUUUAGAAAAAUCGAAGUGGAAAAUUUAUUUCACGACGGUUGUUUGUAAAUAAGAGACGUAGUAGAUUUCAAUAACGUCGUCUUCUCAUGUAUUUAAAGACGUCAUAUUUUUUCUUGUCGUGAAAAUUAUAUUUGACGGCGUAGUGUUUUAGUUGUCGUCGUUGUAUGUCUAUCUUGCGGCCUUGUUCUUUUAAUAUGUGUCAUAUUUUUCCUUUUUAACGACGGUGAUUUGUUUGAGUUGGUCGUCUAUUCUCAUCCUCGACAAUUUUUUAGAACUUUAGCAGACUAAACACGUCUGUUUUUAUUUGUUUUCGACGUUGUUUUAUUUAACAACGUCUAAUAUUUAUCGUCGUUGUUUGUUUCUGAAAAUAUGACGUAUAAAUUUUGUAAUACGACUCUCAUAUAUUUGUAACCGACGUUGUUUCGUUGUUCAACGUCUACUCUAUAAAUACAUACGUCGUAAAUAAUGACACUGACAACUAUUUCCACGUCAUCUUUUAUAGAAAAAUCGAAGUGGAAAAUUUAUUUUACGACGGCUCUUUUUAUAUAGGCGACGUAGUAGGUAUCAAUAACGUCGUCUUCUAAUGUAUUUAAAGACGUCAUAUUUUUUAUUGUCGUGAAAAUGAUAUUUAACGGCGUCUUAUUUUAAUUUUCGUCGUUGUAUGUCUAUCUUGCGGCCUUGUUCUGUUAAUAUGUGUCAUAUUUUUCCUUUUUAACGACGGUUUUUUUAGAGAGUUGGUCGUCUAUUCUCAUCCUCGACUUCUUUUUUAGAUCUUUUUGCAGUACAAAGACGUCGUUUUGUGUUUUUUGAUGACGUUGUAUAUUGUAACAACGACGGUGAUUUAGCGUCGUGGUUUAUGAGGGAAAAGAUGACGGUGGAUUCCACGACCAUUGAAAAACCGAAUACACGACAGUGAUUUACCGUCGUCUUUUUGCUUUUUUGUAGUAGUGUUUUCUUAACAACACAAUUUAGAUGAAGACAAGAUUGUUGAGUGAACUUAAUGUGGCUUCGCCUCAACCAAUUUAUAGACCCUUGAGGAUAGAGUGGGUGGUGGGGGAAGAGAGGGAGAGAUAAGAAUUUCUGUGGACAUCGUUGAACUGAAGACGUACGCCUAAAGGAGAGGAACACUUGAAACCUAGUUGAUCACAUUUUGUGGACUUAAUUUGAAAAAAAAAAACACUCAUUUUUUUUCCACAAACGUUGAUGGUUUGUCUCCUUUUGUAAAUCGUUUAACGAACAGAGAUGAAAAUCAAGUCUACACAUAUAUCUUCAAUAAAUAAGUUUCAAAUGUCUUUGUAUGCCUUUUGGUUUUAUGAUUGAACUCUUGUUCUCAAAAAGUUUCAUAUGGACGUCAAGGGCGGAAUCAGGAAUUUUUCAACGGGUGGGCUAGCUAAAGUUAUUAGCUUAAAAUUUAAUGAUUAUUUUUUUUGGUACUUACAAUUUCUAUAGUCUUUCUAGAAAUAAAAGUAAACAUUAAAUCGUAUAAACCAAGCUAGUUCAUAGCUCCAUAGACUAAUUUUUAAUAAGUUUUAACAUAAACCAAAUACGGUUUAACACCAUAGUAGAUUGAACAUCUAAGGCUUUUUACCUAGAUUUAGGUUCCUUCAUGCAUUCAUAUCAUACAUGAAAAGUUGUUUUAUGUAAAAAUAUUGACUAAGUAUGAAAAAUGGGUUUUCAGAAUAAUCAUUUUCUCAAGAUAAUUUUUGGCGGCUUUUAUUCUUCACACAUCAAAUAAGAAAACUUCAUUUUAUGGGAUUUUAGUAUGAAGUAUAUAUUGAUUUAAUGGCAGCUACAAAAGUCGUCAAACGCUGAAAUUUCUAUUUUCACUGACGCGCUUUCUUCCAAUACAAAAGUGAAAGUGGGUAAGGAGCCUUCAAGGAACUUUCAUAAAUAAAGACCAAAGAUUCUUGCCCUUUUCUAACUCCUAGCGACUGUAGCCUUUAUUCUACUUACCCUAUUUUUUCUAAAUUAAUUUAUUCACACAUUGACUUAUAUAUAUAUACCUUUCGUAAAUAAAGACCAAAGAUUCUUGCCCUUUUCUAACUCCUAGCGAUUGUAGCCUUUAUUCUACUUACCCUUUUUUUUCUAAAUUAAUAUAUUAACACAUUGAGAUAUAUAUAUAUAUAUAUUGUAUAGUAUAACCCUAAUUUUUACCCUUAUCAGAUAAGUUCUAUCAAUUUCAAGAAAUAUCUUCAUCUUUAGACUGCAAGUAAGCUAGUCUAUUUUUCUCUCUAAUGCUUCGCAAUUGUAAUUUGAAGUUCCGUAUAAUUUAGUUGUAUAAUUUAAUUGUAUUGUAUUAUUCAUAAAUUUUUCUUAUUAAAUUAAAAUAAUGUUAAAAAGGCUUAUGCGUCACUGCUUCAAGGCUUACGCCUCGCAUAGCGCUACUAAAACGCCUCGCAUCAUCACCACACCUUUCAAAACAUUGAUAAACACAUCAAAAUUAAGGUUGAAAGAACUAUGAUUACAUGCUAACACAGUAUAAUAACCAAUAAAUAACUCAAAUUGAUUAGAUAAUGAGGCAUCAGAGUACCAAGAACUUCAUCCAAAUCACUAGGCCGCUCAUUCCUCUCUCCUUUCUCGAUAAUCUUCUUCACAAUCCCACCAUCUUUGCUCAAAUUCACCACUUUGAUCAAAGAAAUGAGUUGAAUUCGAAUCGAACAACAGCAUUGGAUGGCACAACAGAACCACCCCCACCAACAACACCAUAGACUAGCUCAGCAGGCAAUGUGAACAAUGCAAUCUCUCCCUUCUUCAUAGAGACGACGCCAUGGUCCAAACCCUUCACCACUCGACCCUCAUCGAGCUUAAUGGUGAGAGCCUCAUCUCUGUCUCUGGUCGAUUCGAACUUCAUCCUAUCAAGUAGAGUUCCAACAUAGUGCACUAAAUUCAAAUUUCCACACUGAAUGUAUCUAAAAUUAUAAAGUUUUAAUAGGAGAGAAAAAUAGAGAGAAAAAAGAAAGAAAGGGUAUUUUUGGCAUUUAAAAAAAUUAAAUACGGGUAUUUUCAUCAUUUUAAAAUUUUCAUUAAAUGGAGCCAAGUGCUUUAUGUGUUUUUGUCUUGCAGGUCCUUUAUGAAGAAGCACCUCUCAAGUGCUUCUUCCAGAACCACUCCAAGUGCUUUGGGAUCUCACCCAAAGCGCUUUUGCAAUUUUUGCUAAACACCAUUUUUAAAAGACAGAAGCGCUUUCACCCGCUCUUCGUUGCUCCAAAAGCACUCCCAAAUGAGCCAUAAUUCUCUCAAUUCCUCCACCUUCCUUCCUUCUGCAAAUAUUCAACAAAAAAUAACAUUAAAACAAAAACUAGUUUUUUUAUACGGAAGUAAUAAAAACUAGUUUGUGUACAUUUUAUAUGUGUUGAAAGCUUUAAAUUCAGCCAGUUGAGUGUAACUCAGUUGGUUGAGCUCUUCUACUUUCGCCCAUGUAGGCAGAAAUUUGAAUUAUAAUUAUAUAUUAUUGUAUUAAACAAACACAAAAUUCAUAAUAAAUUGGACAACUUUAGUUAUUUCGGUAAUAAAUUUAUCAAUUAGCUCCCCAAAUCACUAGAAAGAGGUGAAAGACCCACCACUUUUGUAUUCAUGGCCUAUAUCAAAUUGUAACAAAUAUAAACUUCGUAUUUUUGUUAUCCUACAUAAAAUUGCUCACCUGGGGUUAAUAACUUAUUAUAAAUAAAAAAAACCUAGAGAAACUAGUUUUAGUUCCAUUUCACGACAAAGCGCUCUCUUUUCUUUCUCAAGCAUUUUCUCCUUUCCCCUUUUACCCAUUCCACCUACGGAGCAAUCAGUCUUUAACAAACGUUAACGGUGUGUUUGGAUGAGGGAAAAAAACUUAGGAUUUUGACAAAAGUCAAAAUUUCUAAAUUGACAUGAACCAAUUCCCGUGUUUGGAUAAAAAAAACAUAGAAAUUUAGAAAUUCCGUGUAGGAAAAAAAUGGAAUUUGUAUAUCAUAAAUCCCAACUUUAAAUUCUGUCUAAAAGUCAUCAUUUCUAACAUCCCAAGAGAUAUUGAGUUUUUAAAAAAGAUAGCUUUACAAAUAAAUGAUAAAUUCCGUGUUUUAAAUCCGUUACCCAAACAAAAAAACUUUACAAACUCUAUAACAUUAAUUUCCGUCAUUUAUGAAAUCCCUUGUACUUUGAAAUUUCCUCAUCCAAACGCACUGUAAAAAAGAUUAAAACUAUUUUCUCUCUCUUUUUUUGGGAAAAAAAAUAGUGGAUAAAGCAUAAACUCAUAUGAAUAAUUGAAAUUGUGAUUUCAUUUCUUUUGUGGGAAAAAAGUAUUUAGCAUCUGUAGGUGUGAAAGUUGGAUUGGAAAUUCUAAUGUCGACCGAUUUUUAUUCGAAAUUUUUGAACUUUUAGUGAGUUCAAAUCAAUUCCAACGUCCAAAAGUUUCAAAAAUUCUAGAAUUUUUUUUUUAAAAAAAGAAAAGGAUUGAAAUUAGAAUGUAUCUCAAGAUUACAAAUUUUUUGAAUUAUAUCAGAUUUCCAAUGUUGAACUGCAUAUAAUGAGUAAUAUCCAUGGCCACCAGAUGCACUUUGCAUAAGCAAAAACAAUUGAACUAAUGUUAUAGCCGCAAUAUCAGAAUAUGAUUAUGUCAAAUUCUAAACAUGGAAACUUUAAACAGAAAACUUGAUCAAUCAUGAGGAUACCAUGGCAUCUAAUUUCUUCGUUAUGAAGAAACAUGUGAUUUCUUUUUAUUCUAAAACAUGCAGACUAUGAUCUAACACCACAUGUAAACUGUAUUGACUGCACAUAAGUAGAACACAUGUAUUUUAGUAUUCCAUUAGAGUUGUCGGAAUAUCAAGAACAUACAAGAUCUCUUCUCCUCAAUACAACCCCUCACACACUCAUUUAUAGACAGGGUGAAUACUUUAGUGUAGAUUACAUUGAUCGGGUAAGUUGUGGCACCUGUAUUUAUAUGCAUCUGCCUAAGAGUCUUGCCUAUCAAGAAACUCUCUAGGAAUCCUUAUUGUAAUAGGAAAAGAAACCCUUGUCCAUAUUUAGAACCCGUUUGAUAACAAUUUCAUUUUCUAUUCACUUUUCACUUUUCACUUUUUUAAAAAAAAUUGAAAACAUAUUUUAUAAUACUUUUCAUUUUCAGUUUUCAGAAUCACCCUUACUAAUUCUCAUUCUAUCUAACAUUUUCAAAUAAUCCAUUCUUCAAAACAAACAGUACUUAAUAAGUAGUGACAUCUGAAUCAUUGCGUGUUAAUGAACUAUCUAAGACAACAUGACGUUCAUUAGAUAAUGCUUUUGACCUCAUUAUUCUUGUAGUGAGCGUACAAUUAGAAUAGUACAUUACCAUUUGAAAUGACUAUAAUUAAUGAGCCAACAUAAAAACAAUAAACCCAUCCCACUAAAAGCCAACCAUAUAAACAAAUAGAGCAUAAUUCUCAUGUAAAAUCAGUGCCGAAUCGGACCUAGCAAACACCUCUGCUUUUGUCAGUAUUUGAGAAGAGGACAGUACCAUUAAGAGAAAGAGCAUAUCCACCAUAUUCCUCCAGAUUUUCAUACAAGCAUCACAGCACCUUCCUUUCUCCACCAGGUCUCAGCACCAAAACUCUGACAACAGACAUUGGCUUCUCCUCCAGGAAACCACAAGCCUCCAAAAACAGAAAGCCCACAGCUAAAAAAGGAGAUCUAUUCCAGAUACAAAUAGGGGCACCACCAGACCUUGACAGAUCUAGAACAGAUUUUUUUUUUUUUUUAUAUAAAAAAUAACAUGCCUAGCUAAGGGAGAAAACACUUGAACCAAAGAGACGAUGGGGGAAACACUCUCCACAACAUCACAGGGGAAAGAGAAGCCAGCGAAUCACCGAUUUCUUAGGGGGUGUUUGGUAUCCUAUUCAAAUAGGAAAUUCAAAAACUUUAAUUUUUCUUAAAAAUAAGGAGUUCUCAAAUCUAUUUUUAAAGUUCAAAAACUUGUUUGGUAUGCAACUUGAAAACUAUUUUCAAUUUUUAAAAAUUUGAGAACUUGUUUGGUUGAAGUCUUGAAAACAUUUUCUCUUCAAAUUACAUUUUUGUCCUUGAGGGUAGGGGUAUUUUGAUCACUUUUUGUUCAUGAAAAAGUUUCCCCAACCUCUCUUCUAUCUUUUCCCCCGAAGAUUCGGCCCCAUACCUUGCUAGAAAACCCAAACUGACGCAGAGAAAUCAAGGGUUUUCUCGUCCAAAAAUCUUAAAAUCCAGCCACCUCCUGUCAUUUUUGGCCGUCAACUCAGGUUUAAAGAAAACCUUAAACCCAAACUGACUAUCAUUGCAUUGUUGAUUUUGCUCGAAAUGUAAGUUUGGAAAUCUUAGAGAGAGAGAGAGAGAGAGAGAGAGAGAGAGAGAGAGAGAGAGAGAGAGAGAGAGAGAGAGAGAGAGAGAGAGAGAGAGAGAGAGGAGAAUGGGAGGAGAGAGUCAUACGGAACAAGGAGGAGAGAUAGAGAAAGCAUGGAGAGAGGGAGGAGAGAGAAAGACAGAGAGGAAGAAAGAGGGGAAGGGGGAGAGAGAGGCACAGUGGUGGGUUAGAAAAAUACUAUAUAAAAAAAAUUUGUUUUUAAUAAUUGGGGUGUUUUUGAGUUUAAAUUUUUAAAAAUAGGACUACCAAACAGGUUUUCUUUGUUUUGGACUCAAAUUCUUAUUUUUUUCUAAGAGAUCCGGAAGAAACCCCCAAAUCUAAAGAAAUCCAGUGGCUGGGAGGAGGGUUUUUGGUUUUCCUUGGUAGAUCCUUCGAGAGGGAGAGAGAAACAGAGGGAAAAAUAUUUUGGAAUAAGUUUGUGAUUGAAAAUUUUCAAACAAUUCAUUCUCCAAAACAAAUAGGACUUAAUAAUUAAAAUGAGUUAGAUUCAAAUAUGCUCUAACAACUCCCAUAAUUCAUUUUGUAACUGCUAAAAUAUGAAAACUAUGAGAGAAUAUUGUUUGUGGGAAUUUUCUGUGUAUUCUUCUCCUUGUAGGAGGUCAUAUUUAUAAUACAACGAAACCUGAAUGGGCAAGUAAAUAAUAAAUUCCUAAAUCUAUUUGCAGUAGGAAAUCAGGAAUUAAAGUAAAUCAAUUACAAUUAUAAUAGGAAUUCUUGGUGUGUAAGGAAAGUAAGUCAAUAUCCACAAGUCACGCCAACACUAACUACAAUCUAUGAGUUCCCUUACUACAAUAGUUAGGCACUUCUCACAAUUUUCACGAGAAAUGUCCACAGUACAUUCAACUGUACCAUAAAUUUGUAUACCUUUAUUAUAUGGAAUAUGUGCCCCCUGAGCAUACAAUGAUCCACGAACAGCUAUAGCAUUCAACACUACUACAAAAAAGAAAAAAGACGACGGUAAAUCACCGUCGUGUAUUCGAUUUUUCAAUGGUCGUGGAAUCCACCGUCAUCUUUUCCCUCAUAAACCACGACGCUAAAUCACCGUCGUUGUUAAAAUAUACAACGUCAUCAACAAAUACAAAACGACGUCUUAGUACUGCAAAAAGAUCUAAAAAAGCAGUCGAGGAUGAGAAUAGACGACCAACUCUCUUAAAAAACCGUCGUUAAAAAGGAAAAAUAUGACACAUAUUAACAGAACAAGGCCGCAAGAUAGACAUACAACGACGAAAAUUAAAACAAGACGCCGUUAAAUAUCAUUUUCACGACAAUAAAAAAUAUGAUGUCUUUAAAUACAUUAGAAGACGACGUUAUUGAUACCUACUACGUCGCCUAUAUAAAAACAACCGUCGUAAAAUAAAUUUUCCACUUCGAUUUUUCUAUAAAAGAUGACGUGGAAAUAGUUGUCAGUGUCAUUAUUUACGACAUAUGUAUUUAUAGAGUAGACGUUGAACAACGAAACAACGUCGGUUACAAAUAUAUGAGAGUCGUAUUACAAAAUUUAUACGUCCUAUUUUCAGGAAAAAACAAUGACGAUAAAUAUUAGACGUUGUUAAAUAAAAUAACGUCGAAAACAAAUAAAAACUGACGUGUUUAGUCUGCUAAAGUUCUAAAAAAUAGUCGAGGAUGAGAAUAGACGACUAACUCAAACAAAUCACCGUCAUUAAAAGGGAAAAAUAUGACACAUAUUAAAAGAACAAGGCCGCAAGAUAGACAUACAACGACGACAACUAAAACACUACGCCGUUAAAUACAAUUUUUACGACAAGAAAAAAUAUGACGUCUUUAAAUACAUGAGAAGACGACGUUAUUGAAAUCUACUACGUCUCUUAUUUACAAACAACCGUCGUGAAAUAAAUUUUCCACUUCGAUUUUUCUAAAAAAGAUGACGUGGAAAUAGUUGUCAGUGUCAUUAUUUACGACGUAUGUAUUUAUAUAGUUGACGUUGAAAUUCGAAACAACGUCGGUAGAAUUUAUAUAGUCGACGUUGUAUUUAUAUGUAUUCAUUACUCACGACGCACUUAUUAAUAUAGACGACGUUGAACUUCUAAACAACGUCGGUUCCAAAUAAAUGAGAGCCGUAUUACAGAACAUAUAGACGGCGUUGAUUAUGAUGAGAGCCGUAUUGCAAAUAACGUCGUUUAAUUGAUAUUAGACGGCGGUUAUAAUGAAUUACCGUCGGAAUUCAUUUCCUUCCUCUUCGUUUAUAAAAGAACUUGCGACGUGGAAAAUGUAUGAUGACGUCGUAUUUUUUAACGUUCAGAUUAUAUAUCUCGUUUUUUAGACGUCGGUAUUAUGGGAUUGGAGUCGUGUUAUUUUGAAUUACAUGGCGGUUCUUAAUCCUUCCCCGACGUGAUAUCCUGAAUAAUUGCUUCACAAUAGCGUCGUGGUUCUUUAUUGUUACGUUGCUUUAAGACGUCGGUAAAUAUGCUGAAUAACUGGUUCACAAUAACGUCGUGUUUUAUUUGAACGUAGAAAGUGAAGAAAUCACAUUACAAUAUAUUACAAAAUUAAUGUCAUACACUGCCAAUUACAUAAGCAUCAUUCAAUCCAUAUAUCUUCACACCCAUCUCGAAUAUUUUGACCACCUAACUCACCCACCAGUUCAUCAAAUGUGUCAACAUUUGGCAUCCCUCUAGUAAAUGGCUCACACUCAAUUAUCACAUCGCCUAAGACUUCAUCACCAAUAACAUCAUUAUAUUCUCUAUUAGGCAUUGAUAACACUACCGACCAACCACGAUGCAUCGGGUCGUCAACAAAAAAUAUUUGUUUGACUUGAGAAGCCAAAACAAAUUGGUCAUUCCUAUGUCCAAUUUUACUCAAAUCUACAAGGGUAAAUCCAAGUUCGUCGACUACAAGACCAGAACUAUCUAUCCAAUCACACCUAAAGACUGAGAUUGUAAACUUUUGGUAGUCAAGGUCCCAAAUUUCUUGAAUGACACCAUAGAAACCCAUAUUUGAGAGAAUUGGGUUUUUAUCCUUGGCACUAGCAACUUGCAUGGUAUGUGCAAGUAAAUAAACUCCACUAUUUUGAGUUGUCCGCACAUCAUCUUGUGCCUUGAUAUUGAAUUUAAUACUUUUAAUAAGAUAGCUCCUAUAUAAUGGCACUGCCAUGUUUGGACCAGCUGCUAGCCACCUUAAAUUUUCUGAUACGCCAUGAUUGUCUUCCUCAAAUUAAUCAUAUCUUAAUUCAAUCUAACAUAGAAAUAAGAAGAAAAUUAAAAGAGAAAUAUGUUAUUCAACAACAUAUACCUUGAAGCGUAGCCAUUGAAUGAAAGUGCUAUUGUGCUUAUCCUGCAGCCACUUUGUUCUCUUUCUAAAUUUUGGAUAAGCAGUCUUGAUGUGGAUCAUAUGUUGCCUACAUGACACGAAAAAUUCAAGCAUUACGGUCCCAAAUAUAGAAGAUAAACAUAAGAAAUAAUUUAAAAUGGAAACUUAAAGAAUAAAACUCAUACGUACUCGAUAUAAGGUAGGACUUCCUCCGUAUUCUCCAAGACAUAUAGAUGUGCUUGAUUCAACAGGUCCUGAUCAACUACGCUCACUGUGCAACCUGAUAAUGGCUUUGAAAGUCCCAUCUUUUGGCUUGAAGGCACUCCAACUGUACUAACAUCAGAUAAAUGCUGAGUACAAAACUCUACCGCUUCUUCAGCUAUAUACCGCUCAGCAGUGCAACCUUCGGGACGAGUACGAUUCUGAACAUACCCCUUCAGCACUUUCAUAUAUCUUUCAAACGGAUACAUCGACCUAAAAUAUACUGGCCCACAUAGACGAACUUCUCUGACAAGAUGUACUACUAGAUGAACCAUGAUAUCAAAGAAUGAAGGGGGAAAGUACUUCUCAAGCAAACACAGAGUAACUACUACAUCUUCUUCCAACUUAUCUAGCUUGGAAACAUCAACAGUCUUUGCACAUAUAGCAUUGAAGAAGAAGCACAAACGAGUUAUUGCAUACCUUGCAGGCUUCUCCAAAACAGAACGAAUUGCCACAGGGAGCAAUUGUUGCAUUAAGGUAUGACAAUCAUGUGAUUUAAGGCCAAGAAGUCUUGAAUCUUGUAAAGAUACAAGAUUUUUAAUAUUUGAAGAAUAACCUUCAGGGACCUUCAUACCAUAGAAAGAAUUGCAAACCUCUCUCUUCUCUGCUCUUGACAAAUUCCAAGGCCCAGGAGGCAAACGAGUACGUCUUUCUCCAUACUCGGGUUGCAAAUCUGUUUUGACCCCCAUGUUCAAUAAAUCUAAUCGAGCAGCAAUUCCAUCUUUAUUUUUUCCAGGGAUCUCCAGCAAUGUACCAAUGAUACUAUCGCAAACAUUCUUCUCAAUGUGCAUAACAUCUAAGGCAUGCCUCACAGGAAGGUAUUUCCAAUACUCGAGAUCAAAGAAUAUUCUUCCAACAAACUCUGUCACCAUUUUCAACCAUAUGCAGCACUUCUUCUCCAGGUUAAUGGCUCGGGAGGUAUGCCAUAUUCAGGUUUCCCAUUAAAAGCUGCACGUUGCCUCCUAUAUGGAUGAUUGAUUGGUAACCAUUUUCUAUGCCCAAUGUAACAAAUUUUGUGGCCAUUUUUCAACCUGUGACUAGGUGUAUCAUCGCCGCAUAUUGGACAAGCUUUAUAUCAUUUAACAACACAACCAGAUAAGUUUCCAUAGGUGGGGAAAUCAUUAAUUGUCCACAUUAAUGCAGCUCUAAGUGUAAAGUAUUCUCCAUUAUGUGCAUCAUACACUCCUCUAAUCCCAUCCCACAAAGAUUUUAAAUCAUCAAUCAAAGGCUCCAAGUAGACGUCUAUAUCAUUUCCAGGUUGUUUAGGACCGGAAAUCAAUAAGGUUAACAUCAUGAACUUUCGUUUCAUGCACAGCCAUGGAGGGAGAUUAUAUGUAACUAAGAUAACCGGCCAACAACUAUAUCUGCUACUUAGAGAACUGUGGGGAUUGAAUCCAUCAGAUGAAAGAGCCAAUCUCAAGUUUCUCGGCUCAUUACCAAACUCAGGCCAUUUAUCAUCAAGAAGUUUCCAAGACGGGGAAUCCGCCGGAUGAGACAUCUGACCGUCAAUUGAUUUUCUAGCGGCAUGCCAAGUUAAACUCUUAGCUGUCUCAUGUGAUUGAAACAUCCUUUUAAACCUUGGAAUUGGAGGAAAAUACCACACCACCUUCGCUGGCACACCCUCUUUCAAGAUUGAAUCUUUGCCUUCCUUCCACCUGGAGAUACCACAAGUAGGACAAUUAGUUGAAUCCUCAUACUCCUUCCUAUACAAGAUGCAAUCAUUGGGGCAUGCGUGCAUUUUCUCAUAACUCAGCCCCAAUGCACACAAAGUCUUUUUAGCCUCAUACAUAGAGGUUGUAUUGUAUUUCCUUCUGGAAGCAAAUCGCCUUGAAGUAUCAAUAAUUCUGUAAAACAGACAUCACUCAUCCCAUGUUUUGCCUUCAAAUUAUAUAACUUCACUAAUGCCGAUAACUUCGUGUACUUUCUACAACCAGGGUACACUGGUUGAUCUCCAUCCCCAAUCACAUUGGCAAACUCAUACGGAUCCGAACCAAAAUCACCAAAAUCAUUAUCAUCCAUAUCAAUUUCUUCAGACACAAAACUGUACCUACUAUGGCCAUCAUCUUCUUCAACAUUUCUACUAGCAUUAGUAGUUGCUUCCCAAGGUUCUCCGUGAAAUGUCCAAUUCUUAUAGCUUUGGUCAAUUCCAUUAAAGUAUAAGUGAUCCCUUAUAAUUCCAACCCCAAACAACUUCAAAUUAACACAUUUAACACAUGGACAACGGAUAUGUGUUGUAGUUAGAAGAUUUUCUACAGCAAAGUUCAAAAAUGCUUCCACCCCAAACUCAUAUGCCUUCGAUCUUCUAUCCGAGUGCAUCCAUGACUUAUCCAUCUCCGACACUAUAACCUAUUAUCUAUAAUAAAGUGAAAAUACAGGCAAUGACCAUCACUAUAGCAGAUUAUACAAAGAUCUAAUAGCAAGUAAUACACAACAGAGAUGACGGGUUUUAAACAAAAACAGACGUAUUUGGCAUAUAUAGACGACGGAUUUUCAACAGACGUCGUCUAAUAUAAGUAAUACAAACGACGGUUUAUGAAAACACCGUCGUGUAUAAUUAAUACAACGACGGUUUUUUCAUAAACCGUCGUGUAAUCGUCGUCGUAUGCCUAAAAAGGCGUCGUGUCUCAGUUUAUUUUCAAGAACCCAAAACCCGUUAAGAACACAACAUAUAUAUGAAACCAAGCAAGAAACCAACAUAUACAUGAAACCAAGCAUGAAAACAAUAAAUCCAUUCCCAAUUCGACAUAACAUAGGGUGAUUAAAAGAUCCGACAAAAUUAAAUCCAUUCCCAAUUCAACAUAACAGAUAAUGUAAUCCAUGAACCCAUUAAACAGAAAAUCCAUGAACCCAUACCUAUAAGCACAUUAUUAACAGAUCGCAAAGCAUAUACCUAAAACCCUUUAACAAAACAACCUAAUAUCAUUCAAUGAAUUUACAAGGGGAAGAUAGGGUUUGUACUUACAGGUUGGACGAGCUUACAGAUUCGACGGAGCCUGGAGAGUGCAACUUUUAAUUAGAGCAGAAGUGAGAGAGCGAAAUGUUAUGUUGCGCGAAAUCUGAAAAUUUUAGGGUUCAGGGUUAGAAGUAUAAGAAUAAGAGCCAAAUCUAAAAAAUUUAGGGCGCGCGAAAAUUUUUAGAGAGCGCGCUCUUUAAAAUGUCGAAAGAAAAACCAUGGCGAAAGUUCUACAAGAACCGAUGUAAAUGUAAUAUUCCACGACGAAAACACUAAACGUAACGCCGUUUAUUUUGACGCUUUAUUUUUCGGAUUAAUUUUAAAUUUAUUUUGAAUAUUUUGAUAUAAAGACGACUGAAAAACCACGUCGGAGUUAAGAAAUUGAAAACGUUGUAAAUUAUAAUAGACGACUUACAUAUUAAAAUGACGUCGUUUAAAGUAUAAACCAUGUCGGAUAUUUUACUGCACGACGUAACAUAUGUAUUCCACGACUCAACCACCGUCGUUAAAAAUUAAUACUCUAAACCCUUAAAACUAAAUUAUAUAAUUUUAAAAAUUAAGUUUAUAAAAGGGUUUAUGGUUUUACAGCCUAAUAUAUACCAUAGACUACCCAAAAAUUAUACUUUAAAAAUAAACCCCAAUAAAUAACAACCCUAAUCUCUGAACCCUAAAUCAUAAAGCUAGAAGUGAUUUUAUGACUCAUCAAAAUAAUUUUGUUUUGGAUGGUCAUUUUAAAUUUUUGUUAUUCAAAAUGAAUUUUUUCAAGGUUUAGGGGGAAGAAAAUAUAUCAAUGACUUCAUAGGAGUUGACUUUGCAUUUUUCUGAUUUAUUUUAAAUUUAUUUUGAAUAUUUUGAUAUAAAAAUAAUAAAAUAUUCUUAUCACAACAACAAACCACGUCAGUGUUAAUAAAUUGUAGACGUUGUAAAUUUUAAUAGACGACUAAGUUGUUAAAAUGACGUCGUUUAAAUGAGAAACCAUGGCGGAUAUUUAACUAUCCGACGUAAAAUAUAUAUUACACGACUUAACCGCUGUCGUUACAAAGUACUACCCUGAACCCUUAAGAAAUUGAAGACGUUGUAAACCAUAAACGACUCAAUUGUUCAAAGAAUGUCGUCUAAAUAUCCUUUUACGUCGGAUUUGUUUAAAACGAAAUAACAAAAAACGACGGUUUUUGACUUUAUUAGGUCGUUGGAAAUGUAUUACACGUCGGUUAUGCAAUUUGUAUGUUUGUUUUUUUUUUUUAAUUUAAGAAAACCUCAACAAAUUUUUACAUUAUAUAUUAUAGACAAAAUAUGUACAUUAUACAUAAAUAUCAAGUGUUCAAUAAUUCCCCUAUUCCAGGUGAAGGCAAACAAACUCUGCCCAUUCAUUCCGGACUUCAUCAAUUGCUUCUUGGGGGUAUGGCGCUUCCUGUUUUCCCUUGGCAUACUGCAUAAACAAUGACUAUUAGGGUUUAUAAAUAAAAAGAAAUUCAAUCACAGACGACGAUAUUUUUCAUAACCGACGUAGUAUAUCUAUUCAACGACGGUAAUUUUACAUGACCGUCGUUGAUAAUACAAAAAACGACGUAAAAUGUAUGAAGGUAAUUUCUUCUUACCUUCUUCUCAAACGCCAAGGAAGGAUUCGACACUGCUGGGUUGCUUUGGUGUGCCUGACAGAAUUUUCCAAAUUACUGCCUUACGGCCUGAUCUGGCUAUGUGAGAAUUAUAAAUUUUUAUAGCACUGUUCACGAUGUUUUUGGCCUCUUCAUCGACCACACGAUUUCCUGGCAGAGGAUCCAGAAAAUAGACGGUUUCCCUCUUUGGUCUCACAAUCAGCAAGAUCCAAUGACGGUUGCACAAAAUUAAUAUAAAAACGACGGUUAUUUACAAAAACGACGUAUUAUAAUAUUUCACACGACGAAAUAAAGUAGCAAUCGACGACAUUAUAUAUUUAUCACGACGAUAAAUAACUGCCGACGUGGUUAGUAGUUUCAAACGACUCAAUAAAAUAAAACACCGACGUGGUUAGUUUAUACGCUGUCAUUUAUUGAAAAUCAUAAAAACAAAAUCCUGUUAAGGAGACUAACCCUGGAUUGUAAGGCAUCAUGAAAAUCUGUUCACCGUCAGUCCUCUGAAGUCGAGCUGCUACCAGACGUGAUCUGUCAGCUAUUGUGCCAGAGUUGGCACUAACUGUAGCAGGGUCGAUAAAGCCUACCAUGCUGCACAUAUUUGCUUGUUUCAAAACAUCGUGUAAGUACCUAAAUAUAUAAAAUAAUAUAAACAAGUCAGCACAAAAAAACACACGACGGUUAUGUAUAACAAAACGACGUAUUAUAAAAUUUCACACGACGUACUGAAGUAGAUAACGACGUUAUAAUGUAUUUAUCACGACGGUACAUACUAACGACGUGGUUAGUUAGUUAAGACGACGCAAUAACGACGGUACAUACUAACGACGUGGUUAUUUUAGAAUGACAAACCUCAUAUAUACAGCAAUGACCGUAGCUCCUAUUUCUUCCAUGCCUGCAAAUUGUGUAAUAUCUUCAGGCAGGAGGAAGGUAUCGCGCUCUAGACCAAACACCUCCUUAUCAAUUGUAAAGUUCAGGGUCUUAUCCUGAGGCACGAGUGUCGUUUCCACAUAACGACAAAGGGAUUUUAAAGAAGAUGGCGCCUCCAUAUUUGAAUAAUCAACAACUUCAAAAACCUGUUUAAAGAAAUAAAAAAAAGACGUGGUAAUUUAAUAAAAACGACGGUUUAAGGAACAAAACGUCGUCUGAAAAGAAUUUAAACGACAGCGAAAAAACCGUCGUGGUGAAUAAUUUAUUACGUCUUAAACAAAAUUCCGCCGUCUAAGUUGUAAACAAACGACGGUUUAAAGAAAAAUAUCGACGUCUGAAAUUUUGAAAAAUAAAUAAAACAGGCAAAGUUAUGUGAACAUACCUGGUCGUCAUGCUUUUCUUCAUCUUCUUUCUCCUUUUCAUCUUGUUUUUCUUCUUUCUUCUCUUCAUCUAUUACGUCGGGAAUGACUAACCCCGUCGUCUAAAAACCACAAAAUUUUAAAAAUAACGACGUUUAAUGGCGUGUAAAACAAAUAAACUAAAUACGACGUGGUAUUGAAAUACAAACGACGGUUUAUUUUUAAAACGUCGUGGUAUGUAUUUCAAACGACGGUUUUAUUAAAAAUAACGACGUCUAAUAGUUUUUAAAAAAACAGAGAAUUCAAAGUUCAGAUAUGUUACCUUUUCUUCCUGAUGUUUCCCAUUUUUGGCAGUAUCAUCCUCAAAAUGUAGGGAUCUCACAUCACCUCCAGAGCAGCUUGCUUUGUCAGACAUUGGAUUUUUGGGACUUUGGCUAAUUCUUGGUUUAAGCAUGCUUGGAUCAAAAUUGGGAAUUAAUUGGGAAAGCUGACUCAGGAAAUGCUCCCUCUCAGCCUCUACCAAUUGCUUGGUUCUAGCCUCCAUCCUUAAAGCCUCUUCCCUUGCCCUAGCCUCCAUCUUUUUAUUCUCUUCUUGAAGGAGAACUCUUAAACUGUCCUUUAAACGGUCGUCAAAGCUCAUCCUCUGUGGUUUUGGUAAAUUGAAAUAUUGCCUUGGGGAAAUCCCAGCACCUACCCCUCUCACUCUGCCUGGAUGCUCGGGGCCCAAAGCCAUGGUCAGCACAUCAUUGCUGCCAGAUACAGUGACUUUGCCUUCCGAGACUUGUUUUUGCAAUUCAUCCUAAAACAAAGAUAUAUAAAAAAGUAAGAACAAAAAACAUACGACGGUUAUUUAUAUACAAACGACGUAUUAUAUAAUUUCAGACGACGCAGUAACAUAUAAAUCGACGUUAUUAUAAUUUAUCACGACGGUAGUUAUACCAAUGUGGUUAGUUUUUUAAAACCACGAAAUGAAUAAACCACUGACGUCUUAUGCUUUAUUUACAGAUAACAGAGGGAUGAUUCAAUAUUCACACCUUUAACGACCUUGUUUAAAACAUUUCGACGUAGUAAUUUAAUACAAACGACGCGAAAAUGAACCAUCGACAUCUUAUGCUAUAAUCACAGAAAACAGAGUAGUGAUUCCUGAUUUAGACCUUUAACGACGUUUUUUAAAAAAUUUCGACGUGGUAAUAUCAUUCACACGACGCAAAAUAUAACAUAAGACGUAAUAAGAAUUAUUCACAGUUUAAUAAAAAUUUAAAACAGAGUGAGUAGGCUUACAAUUAAUUUUGCUUUCUCUGCCACCUUUGGAUCCGGGAUGUUACCAUGUUUGUCCUGUCUAGCUUUCUUCCAUAAGGUAGAUCGAUCAAUUUCUACCCCAGGCAUGGUUUCCUCCAAUUGAUCCUCCAAACCAGCAUAUCCUUUUCGAGACAAUCGAUGAUUGUACUCAAGUUUCUCCCUAAUCUGUGCAUGUUGAGAAUGCACAGACUCAAAAUCUUUGGAUAACCUUGAAGCUACAAAGGCAUCCCAUUGUGCUUUCUCUAUGAAUUUAUAUGUUUCAGGGGGUUGGCUUAAUCUCUCCCUGUCAUUGGUGUAUGGAAGGAUAUAAUGCCUCGUUAGUGUAGACUUGAAAUCCUUCCAUUUCUUGGCAGCAGAAGCUAACACAGAGUUCUUGUUCCCUUGACCUACCACAAAAGCAAUGUCAACUGCUUCCCAAAUCUGCUUCUUUAUAUCCUUGGGGAUUUGAGCCCAUUUCAUGUCCACAAGUGGAACUCUGGAGCGUGCCAACACACCAAUGUAGGACUGCAUCUCACUAUGUGCUUGGCCAAUUCCUUUCCCCCUUUUAUUGUACUCAACAAUUGGCCUGAGUUUCUGAAGUUUUCUCUUCACAACACGAGGCAUUGUGCUCAUACCUCGACCAGACUUUGAAUCAUCAGAGAUUGUUGUCGUGCUGGUUUGUUUUGUCUCAGCAGAUGAUGAAGCAAACUUCAUCUUCUUCGAAGACUUCUCUUCAGGAGUUACAAUUCCAAGCUCCUACCUCCAUCUUUCUUGGAGCCAGAGUCCUUACUUUGGUCUUGGUGAGAAACCAUUUUUACAGACAAAACUGCAAGUGAAAAUAUUUCAGGAAAAGAUUAAGAACACAAACGACGGUUAUUAAUAAAAUACGACGUAUGAUAUGAUUUUAAACGACGCAAUGAAAUAAUCUCAGACGUAAUAAAUGUUUAAAACCAAGGUAAUUAAACAACGACGAAAUAAUAUAAAAUAAGACGUAAUAAUAACUUAUAAACGACGUGAUAAUUAACUAUAAACGACGAAAUAUUUAUAUAACGUUGUGGUAUUGAUGUUCACACGACGUCAAUAGUAAUAUACCGUCGUCUAUAUAAGGAUCCAAAACCCUUCUUUCUUUCUCUGUGAAUGUUUGAUUGCAGAUUUAAUUUUUCUGAACCAUGGUUUUUGUUUUCUAAUUUGAUAAAAUACAAGGCCAAGAAAGAAAGUUUUGGAAUCUUAUAUAGACGACGGUAUUUUAAUAUGACGUCGUGGUAUUAACAUUCACACGACGUAAAACAAUAAGAUACUGUCGUCUAUAUUAGAUACCAACCCUACUUUCUUUUUCUUUAUAUUUUAUCAAAUUAGGGAAAAACAAAAACCAUUGUUCAGAGAAAUCAAACCUGCAAUUAAACAAGCAAAUAAAAAAAAGACUAUAAUUUUAAAAACAACUUUGUCAAUUUUCAGACGACGCUAGAACGACUGACGAACUGUCAUGGUCUACAUAUUUAACCACGUAAAUAAGAAGCUACCGUCGUCUUAUUUAGUUGAGGUAGUUGUCUUCAAAGUUGGAAACUUCCCCUCUUUGUCUGUAUAUUUUAUCGAACUUGGAAAGAAGUAAAAUGAUUUUGGCCAGAAAAAAGGUAAAAAGAUUUUUCAAACAAAAAACGUAUGAGCAUGCAAAACAGCAACCAAAAUAGUACUGAAAAUGAAAGCUUACCUUUUGCGUGCAAUGAAAGCAAGAGGAAGACGAUGUUUAAGUUUAGAGACGACGAAGAAGACGAGAGGAAGACGAUGAGAUACUCUGACAGUGCUCUGACAAGGAAAAAGUCUAAAAGUUUUCUCUGGGAGAUUGAAAUUUUUAAUCGGGUUUGGAAACAGCGCAUGUGUAAGUCAGGUAGACGAAAAGUUGCUUACAUAUAAAACCAUUUCAAAAAAAUAAUACGGCGGUUACAUAUAACUACGACGUAUAAAUUACAAAAUACGACGGUACAUUUAACUUCGGACGUGGUAAAUAAAUACGACAGUAGUGUUGUAGGUACCGUCGUAGUAAACUCAAAAAUUAAAGUACAUAAGUAAUAACUCGCGUCAUGGUAGAUUAUUUAACACGUCGUUUUUAUUAAUGUACCGACGUGGAUUUCUGUAAUAUACGUCGGUCAUAUCGACGUUGAUUUUACAAUUUAAACGGCGUUUUUUUUGUAAGGACCGCCGUUGGUUUUAAAAAUUUAUUCUAUAAAUUUGUCACUUUCAUUCAUUUUCGGUUUACAUUUAGGGUUCCAAGUUCUUCCUCUCUCAGAGACACUGUCUCUCACGUCUCAAAGACAAUAAUUUGGAUGUCUUUCUCAAAGAGAAAUUGAGCUUACUCGCAUCAAAUAUAUGUCCACAAGAAGAAGCUUGUCAAUUAGCCUUCUCACUUCCUUGAUCAAGCCUGAUAGGACACUUAGUGCUUCUGAAUACUCCUUGCUUUCCAUCAAAAGAGAUGCAAGCCUGGCCUCCACUCGCUGUCGAAGGAAAGUUCGCUUCUCAGGGAAAUCUGAAGAUCAGAUGUGCCUGAUCCUCUGCUUGAUUUUCUUGGCUAAGAAGAUCCGUCAGAUUUGUGAUAGUCUCUUCCUUUAUCCGUAGAGCUUCAGAAGAAGAAGAUGGGUUUCAAGAAUGCGAUAAAGAAUAGAAAUGGCUUCAGAUGGCCUCUAAAGGACCAAACUGUUAAAGAAACUGAAACAACGGCGGUUUUCUGUUCUACCGUCGUCUUUUCUCGUCGUCUAUAUUAAGGUAAGAUGGCGGUAGAUUUAUAAUUACCGACGUAGAUUAUUUUGUUAAACGUCGUUAAGUGUACUACAACCGACGUGGAUUUUAUUUUUAAAUUAUAAAUACAGUUUUUUUUUCCGAAUUCUUUCAGUUUUAGUUUUCAAUUACAAAGCGUGAUAAAUAGAUUUUUCUUUCCCGAGGAAAUUUAAAAUGAGGGAAAUUAAUGUUCUAGAAUUUGUAAACUAACACGACGCAAUAUUACUAACCCGAGGAAAUUAUAAAUAGAUUUUGCUUUCCCGAAGAAAUUUUAAAUUAAUUCAGUUUGAAACAACGGCGGUUUUUUGUUAUGCCAUCGUUUUUAACUAACACGACGCAAUAUUUGUUUUGCGACGUGGAAUUUUUUCAUUUAACGUCGUUAGGUUUAAUAUAACCGACGUGGAUUUGCCUUAAAGGUAAUUGAUAUCCAAUAGUUUUAUCCUCUAAAUGCACAAGUCUAGUAGGAGUAGUUACCUCAAAGAUAUUCUCAGGAGAUUGGUCCGUUGGUACUGUUGAGUGAGAGGGGGAUAGGGGGUCUUCAUCUUGUUGUUCUGAGUUGUCUGUAGGAGUAUAACUCGAAUCAAAAACAGUUUCGCAAGGGUUAGGCGAUCGAUUGUUGUUUGGCAGAGAGCAUUCGCAUGUGCCAGACUCGGGACGAUCGAUUGUUAUUGUUUCUUGGGCGAGAGCAAUCUUCAUGCAUAGAUGAAUAUCUUCAUUUUCCAAGCUACUCCAAUUGAGCUUUUCACUCCGCAUCUCCCAUUGAAGAGUAGAAUUGGAUGCUGGGUUAUAGAAGAACAUCUCUGAUUCUAGAAUGGUGACAUCCAAAGUGGCAUAGGUUCGCCGGGUAGGAGGGUGAUAAUAUUGGUAACCUUUUUGAUGAGUGGCAUAACCCAAAAAAAUGCAACGAAGUGCACAUAGAUCAAGUUUGCUUCCUUGAUUUUUGUGGAGAUGAACGAAGGCCACACAUCCAAAAAUGAGAGGGGUAAGCACCAAAACAGAGGGUAGAGGCCCGUGUUGCGCGAGCACUUGUAAUGGAGUUUUGAAGUUCAAGACCCCAAAAGGCAUGCGGUUAAUAAGGUGGACAGUAGUGAUGACGAGGAACAUGGCUACCAAUGAGAAGAGCAUGGACUGUUUCAAGGAGGUGACGAUUCUUCCAUUCAGCAACACCAUUUUGUUGUGGUAUCUGGGGGCAAGUUGUCUCAUGAAUAACGCCAUGUGUCUGGAAGUAAGUCUGAAAAUCAUAAUUAACAAAUUCUCCACCGUUGUCAGAGCGAAGAAUCUGUAUUUGAGCAUUAAACUUUGUUUCCAUCUGUUUGUGAAAGAAUUGGAACAGGGAAAACACUUCAUUAUUAUUUUUCAUCAAAUAAAGUCAUGUUAUUCGUGUACAAUCAUCUACGAGUGUGACAAACCAACGAAUACUGGAAUGCGUAGAAAUAGGUGAGGGUCCCCAAACAUCAUAAUGAAUUAAAACAAAAGGAAUAGUACUUUUAUUCAUACUUAAAGGACAUGAUGCUCUGUGACUCUUGGCUAAAAUACAAGUGUCACAUUUAAAAUAUGAGUCCUUAAAUACAGAAAACAACUUGGGUAGUAAGUGUCUUAUAUAACCAAAAGAUGGAUGCCCCAAAUGUCAGUGCCAGAGCCAAAUUUGUCGGUGCUUAUCAUCAGACGGAUGCUUCACACUGUAAGCACAUCCCAUACUGAAGUCAUCCACAUAGUACAGCCCCCCUCUUUUAGUACCACACCCAACGAUCUCCUUGGUGAGAAUAUCCUGUAGUAAACAAAAAUUGGGAUAAAUUCGUGCACAACAAUUUAGUUGUUCAGUUGCCUGGCUCACAGACAUUAAUUUAUUUGACAAAGAUAGAACGAGUAGAGUAUUGGAAAGGGACAGAGAAGGUGAAAGGGUGACAGUGCCGGCCCCUGUCACAGGAUAGGUAACUCCAUUCGCAUUGGCAAUACUUAUGUGGCUGGGUGUAAUGGUGUACAAAAAGUCAUUCGGAUAAAAGGUCAUACGAUCAGUGGCGCCAGAAUCAAUUAUCUAACCAGUAGCAUCUUGUAGAUCAGAAGUAUGAAAUGCAUAACCGCAGUUACUUGAGACAUCCAGAAGUGCGGGACUAUCAAUAGGGUCUAGUUGCGGAAACAAGGCUAAUUGGGGUUCGGUAGAGACAUGAGCAGUACGACCGGAAUUACUAGCAAUUUCUCUGAGCUUGCGAGCGCAGAGGUCCUAUCACCAAUCAGGAUAACCAUUCAGCUUAAAGCAGGUGUCACGGGUAUGUUUGGGGUUGCCACAGUACGUGCAACCACUUCCAUCAAUCGAAGCCUUGGGACAGGAAUGUGGGAUGGUUUUAGAAGGUGGCACACUAGUAACAGUAACAUAUGACUGGAUCUGAAGGUGGGCCGCAAUAAAGGAAUUCUGGGGCUGUUCGGCACGAGUAAAGGGACCUGAUCGAGGUGCACGCUUGGCUGUUAAGCCAGCGCCAAUAGGUGCAGAUGAACCCAUCAUCACAGCUUGUCAAACAUCUUCAUGGCGAACAUAGGCAUAAGCUUGGUCCAUAGUAUGGAAUGGAGUCAUGUGAAGAACAUCACUUCGGGCCUUAUCAAGAUGAUCAUCAAGGCCAUCCAAAAAUAUGUAAACUCGAUGUUCCUGCAGAAUAUCAUUAUAGCGCUUGAUAUCACUUUCAUACUCCAUCAUAUUUGGACGACAUAAAUCAAUCUCUCUUCAUAAGCUUUGGAGAGUAUUGUAAUAGGUUCCAAUGGAGCCGCCAGCUUGUCGCAUACAGGAGACUCGUCGUUUUAGAUCAUAAACCUAAGAGGUGUCAGUGCCAUCAUAGUAAGUUAUGACAAUUGCAUCCAACAUUGCUUUUGCCGUCGGAAAAAGAAUGGAAUUGCCAAUCAAGCUCUGCUCCAGAGAAUUGAUGAGCCAUCCCAUCGUAAUAGAGUUCUCGGUGCGCUAGCGAGGAAACAUUGGAGCUGUCGAAGGAGGUUGUGGAAGAUCACCAUUAACAUAUCCGAAUUUGUCUUUGUCGGAGAUAUACAACUUGACAACUUGGGACCAUAGGGCAUAGUUGGUGCCAUCCAACUUUAUGCCAAUCUAUGUAGCGGAAGCUUCAUAGGUAAUUGUCGUCGGAAUCGUCGUUUGAUUCGGGUUCAACGUCGUCGUCUGAUUUGAGUUCGGGGUCGUUGUCUGAGUCGAGUUCGGGGUCGUCUUGGUAGGAUCCUGAUUUAGGAUCGAGUUUGAGGUCUGAGUCUGCAUCUUCGUUAGUUGAGCCACAUGGGCACUCAACUCGGCAAUGGUUGGUUGAGAAUGAGAGGAGGAAGCAGUGGUGUUACCACCAUGAGGAUUAGAAGUCAUCCUCCCCCAUGGUGGCGGCUAGGGUUUAGAAGCUAGAGUCAGCAAUCCCAAGAUCGUUGCUCUGAUAUCAUGCUAAAAUAAAACUAUGAGAGAAUAUUUGUUUGUGGGAAGUUUAUGUAUAUUCUUCUUUUUGUAGGAGGUCAUAUUUAUAAUACAACGAAACCUGAAUGGGCAAGUAAAUAAUAAAUUCCUAAAUCUAUUUACAAUAGGAAAUCAGGAAUUAAAGUAAAUCAAUUACAAUUAUAAUAGGAAUUCUUGAUGUGUAAGGAAGUAAGUCAAUAUCCACAAGUCACGCCAACAGUUACAUCACUAAUCGUAACCUAAAACAGUCAGAAAUAGUACCUCUCCUAGAAACAGGAUUCACAGGAACCUUAUGUCCUUGGUGGGAUAAACACCUUACAGAAGAGUCAAAACGACAAAUAAUACAUGCAGUAAAAUUAAAUGAAGAUGGAUUCCCUAUAUUCGAUGAAAAUAUCAAUAUGGGAAUUGAAGAUGGAGUCAAUACGUUAUUAUACACAAUAAUUGAACAUUUCGUAGGAACACCGAGUAACACUACAGCCAGAAUUCAUGAUCACCUUAGCAAUCUUAGAUGCCCUAAGUUAAGUGACUUCAGAUGGUACAAGGAUGUCUUUAUCUCCAGAGUCAUGCUAAGAGAUGAUAGUAAUCAACCAUUUUGGAAAGAAAAAUUCAUUAAUGGUCUUCCCAAUCUUUUUGCACACAAAAUACUAACACUCUUAAGUAAUGAUCAAGGCCAUAUCGAUUUUGAUAGUUUAACUUAUGAAAAUAUAAUUAAUAUUAUAUAUAUAUGUCAGUCCCGAUCUCUUGGACCACAUGAGUUCAAGAGAUUGUAGUCACCCACCGUUGGAUAUUAAUCCAAUGGUUGAAAAAAGUUUUUUAAAAGGAGUGCAAGAGUGAGUGAACCGUUGAAUUUACAUCCAAUAGUGAGUGACCACAAAUCUCUUGGACCCCUGUAGUCCAAGAGAUCAGGAUUGAUAUAUAUAAAAUAAGGGGCGGAUCCGUAGCACUAUGUUUUUGACAUAAUUUUUGGGCCACAAUGGUUGAGAUUAAACCUCACAUGGUAAGUAGUUUUAAUUUUUUUUAAAAGACAAUAAUUACUUUUAUUGUCUCUCUCAUAAAAAUAAAAGAAAUGAUUUUCUCUCUCCUCCCUUUUUUCUUGGAGACGUAAUCCCAGCUGCCUCUUUAAUAUCAAAUAUUUAUUAAGGUGUAAUAAAUAAAGAAUUUCACAAAAAACUAAAGGCCCAAACCGUGAAGAGUCUCUUCAGUUUCCCCUUCUUCUCGCACAUGUAUAUGCAGCCAUCAAUUCAUCUUCAGUAGUUUUUUCUUUUAUGUCAAAGCAAUUUCUCCUAUCUUAAUACAGAUAUUGUAUCAUCAAAAUAUUGGAGCACCCACAAGAUAUUUCCUCCAACUCUCAGUCCCAUAUCUCCAGGAAAAUUAAUUAAAUUUCAAGUCAACUUCCAAUCAUAGCUGUAGCCAAUUUCUGGAAUGGUAAAUGCCCAGUUUAUUAAGCUCAUGAUUCACAACAAUCUGUAGCUCAAAGAAUGACUUUCCCCCCAAGGCUACCUGUGUUUAUUGUAUAACCCCGACCAUGCCAGGUGCCAUCUUGGACAUUGUUCAUCUCUAAUGUUUUGAUAUUCCUGUUCACAUUGUAAGAAUACUAUCUAUAAGUUUUCAAGCAUAAAAAUCUUAAUCAAAAUUAAGCCAUGUGUCUACUUUCAAAGAUUUAAAGAAUUUCAAUAGUUCCAAAAGGAUAGCUGCCAGUCGUAGAACAUCAUUUUUAAUCAUGAAUGGUGAUUCAAAUUAAAGAAAUUCUAAGCUCAUCUAAUUGGUAAAAGUGAAGGUUGAUCAGUGGAACUUGCAUUCUUCCUGAGAUAAUCAACAAGUGUUGUGGCAUCAAAUUUUUACUUUGUAUUCUCUCUCUAUUAAAACGAUAAAAGUUCUUAAUGAAAAAAAAAAAACAGUAAUAGUCAAAAUUUUCAGAUAUGAGAAGAUUAAAAUCCCUAAAUCAAACCCUCAAAAGAGAUGGAGGUCUUUUCUAGUUUCAUGAAAGAGAGGGAGGGAGGAGACUCUUGUUGCAGAUAAAGAGAGAAAAAGAGAUCGAUGUUUUUUAUGGUCUUAUGAAAGAGAGUGAGAGAGAUGUGUGCAAGAAAGAAGAGAGAUUACCAAGAAAAAGGGAGGAGAGAGAAAAUCGUUUCUUUUAUUUUUAUGGUGAGAGAGAAAAUAAAAUUAAUGGUUGUCUAAUUAAGAAAUUAAAAUUAUUUCCCAUGUCAAGUUUAAUCUCAACCAAUGAAAGUAAAGUAAUCUAAUGGCCCAAAAUUUGUGUCAAAACUUGUGUAAAAAAUAUAGUGCCAUGGAUCUGCCCCCUAUAUAAUAUUAUAUAUAUAUUAUAAACCAAUUCCCAUAAAAAGUUGGCUAUACAUAUAUAUUAUUAUAUCUAUAUAUUAUAAACCAAUUGACUUUUUUGACUUGGCUGAGGGAGUUGUUUUUAAAAAUGUAGUUUGAGGAUGGCCAAAUAGUUGGCUGAAACCAAGUCAAGAUCUUGGCUUCCCAGUUGGCUGAAACCAAGUCAAGAUCUUGGCUUCCCAUGUCGGCGAGUUGGUUGGAAAUGGAAGUUUUGGCUAAAGAGUUGGUUUUUUGGCAUGAGAGAACCCACAUGGGUUUACCUUGGUAUUCUCAAACUUGGGUCAAAUUGGCAUGGGUUUUUAAAAUGGUUGUGAGUUCGUAGGCCACUUAGUUGGCCUUUAAUUCUGGUCUCCAACUUCCUAGGCCAUAGGCCUUAUACAUAUAUAAAUUUAAUAUGCAAUAUGUAUAUACCUUGGCCAAGUUUCUUGAAUGGACUUACUGAAAUUCCAAGUCACCCAACAUCGAUGGAUUAUGUUCAAUCAAAAUUAGAGACUUCGGAAGCCACAUCGUCUCAUCAAAUGUUAGGCUCAAGUCCUCGGAGGCCCAAGCUCUACCUGCGAAAGUAGGCCCAAAAACCACCGGAUGUUUUCAUGCACGUGACGAGAUCCAUCCAAGGAAAGCAAUCAAAAGAGUGACGUCAAUCUGGAACAUUCCUAAGGAGGAGAGAAUCAAGUGAUCAGAUUUGUAAUCCGAUGAUCUCAUUCAAAUCAAUUCCGCAAAUUUAGGAAGCCACACAAGGAAAGAUUUUGAACGAAGUUGAGCUUCAGCCAUUUAGUGGUCAGCCCAUGGGCUGACGAAUGCCUACAUCAGACAAAGAGCAGAGGACCCCGACAUAAGGCACAAAAUCUACUUUUUGUCUUUCAAUUUUCUAUCCCUAGACUAGGUUUUUAUUUUCCGAGCAAGUAGACUAGAUCAGUUCUUCACUUUCGUUAGUGUAAGUUUAAUUUCUUGUAUUUUCCAUUACGUUGUUUAAGAUUCAAUUUUAUCGUUUUAUUUUUAAUUGUUAUCGAAUUUUCUUCAGGGAGCUUUAGUUUUAAAAUAAAAUAUAGUUUACUAAUUUGGAAGAUAAGAAUACAAUUUCAUCUAAUUAGCAUAAGGCCAAAGACCAUAAUUUAGUACCUAAUUUUAAAAAAAUAUCAUUAAAAAAUAUCAAAAUUACACACAAUGCCACUUCUUCUAAGGCAAGUAUACUAUGCCACAUGUACAUAUCUAGCCAACCACCACGGUUUGAAUCCCGCCGCUUGCCACCUGCCGUUGGCCACAAUCGUUGGAAUCUCGCCGCCGACCACCACCGCUGGCCAGCUGCAACCACCACUUGUCGCCGCCCUGCCAUCGUCUGCAGGGGACCAACUCCGUUGCCCUUUAUUCACCUUUUAAAAAAAAAAGAUUUUGCGUCAUUGAAUGGACUCAAACCUUGGCCUUCAAAGAAGGAAGGCUCACUCACAAACCACUACACCAAACUUGAUGUUGUAAUAUUUAUUAAGUUAUACAAUAUUUAUAUAAACAAUCAACGAUUUUUUUAAAAUAAAAUAAAAAACCAUUUCAACACUUAUUCACACAAAAACGAAAACAGCUAUAAAAACAAUUGUAAUUAAAUGAAAACUACAAUGCAGUUUCCAGUUUCCAAAACUGCAAUGCAAUUUCCAGUUUCCAAAAGUGCAAUUUUGAGUUCCCUUGCUCUUGGGUAGUUCUACUCUUCUCUUGCCCACCCAAUUCCUCAUUUGGGCAGCCUUUACUGUUCAAAUUGGUGAGGUUGAAGGCCAAGCAAAGAACAAAAAUCAAAUUGUAAUUAAAUGAAAACUGCAAUGCAGUUUCCAGUUUCCAAAAGUCCAAUUUUGAGUUCCCUUGCUCUUGGUUAGUUCUACUCUUCUCUUGCCCACCCAAUUCCUCAUCUGGGUAGCCUUUACUCUUCAAAUUGGUGAGGUUGAAGGCCAAGGAAAGAACAAAAAUCAAAUUGUAAUUAAAUGAAAACUGCAAUGCAGUUUCCAAAAAUCCAAUUUUGAGUUCCCUUUCUCUUGAGUAGUUCUACUCUUUUCUUGCCCACCCAAUUUCUCAUUUGGGUAGCCCCUACUCUUCAAAUUGGUGAGGUUGAAGGCCAAGGAACAAGCAAAAAUCCAAUUGUAAUUACCAAAACUGCAAUGUAAUUUCUAAAUUUGCAAUGUAGUUUGUGCAAAACUACAAUGUAGAAUCUGUGUAAAAUUUCACUAAACUAAAGCUUAAAUGGUAUUGUAAGAUAUUAUAUGACAGUGAUGGCACCAACCAUUUCCAAAUCAAGACAAAUGCAUAGUAAGUGAACUUUAUAAUAAGAAGUUGCAGCUAAAUUAGAUUGCCUGACCAAAUUUUGUGCUAUAUAAAACAACGUUUGUGCUGUAUAAAACAAGACCAAAUUAGGUACAACGAACAAUGAGCAUAGAAUAGGAUGCGUCAACCUCCAGACUUGCGUGAUGAGUAUAGGCCCUAAAUAGAAGGAGAAAAUAUAUUUGAAACAAGCAAGGAGCAAGUGGCAAUCCUUGUAUUAGAGCUGUAUCAAAUUGAUUUAAUAAAAAAAGAAUUCUAGCUACGUUCUGUCACUUGCUUGUCUAGCUGGAUUACUAGUAACACUAAGCAUGCUAAUUGAAAAGACACUGGAACAUGCAAUGGAAACAUAUCAAGGUAACAGAAGUUCCUUCCAGAUCAACUAGAUGAAAUUGAAUUUGAUUCUUCAAAGCAGCUUUUUUUUUUCUCAAGUAUUUUGAUUUUCACAAAAUUGACCAAAACAUAAUCACUUGUAUCAAAAAUAAAAAAAGAGAGGCAAUUAUACAGCAAAAUUGAUCCAACAACACCAGACCAUCUUUUCAAACAAACAAACAAAAUGGAUCAAGCAAACAAACAAAAAAGAAAAAGAAAAACUUAUAAAAUCGUAAGGAUUAACAGUAUUUUCAAACCCCCAAUUCCAAAUACAAGCAAAUGCAUUAAAAGAGAAUGAAAGAGAAAGAGGCUCUCACAGGUGGAGGAGAGUCGAUCUCCUUGAAAUACCCAAGCAUCCUACACACACACACACAAAAGAAAAAACUGAACCAAGUAUCAAUCGACUGCUUCAAAUAGCCUUAUUAAUCAGAAAAUAGUAAUCUUCUUCGUGGAGUGGGUCUCAUCCUAGAUGGGAAACAAAUAGAAAUUGUUAGUUGGGAAGAAUAACAUCUUUCAAUAGAUAAAUAAAAAAUUAAUAAAUAACAAAGAAGUGCAAAUAAAAUAAAAUAUCAUAAAACCAUAAAAGAUAAAACAUAGGAAAGAGCAAAAUGAAAUGGUGUCCAGGGUGGGGGUUUGACAUUUUCCUAAGUUUACACAAAACAAGAAUUCCUUUCAAGUCUUUUGACAAACUUAAAAGAAAUUAUUUCCAUACCUAGACCACGAGCAGCAACAUCUGUUGCAGUUAUUAGCUUUAAACUCAGAGAAGACCCAAUCCCUUUCUGCUUGACUUUUGUCUCCAUGAAUUGAGAGAGCAGGCCAACCAUUAAUGCGGAGCUGUCGAGGGAUCUAAUCACAUCCUUUCUUAGUAUCCAUGAAUAUCAGUAUUCUGAUGCCAUCCAAUCUAAAAGAAAAAGGACCAAAAACUCCUUCAAUCGGCCUACCCGGCCGAAAAGAGGGAAACAACAUCAUUGUGGCUCAGGAGAUGUUACACAAAUUUAAAGUUUCAAAAGGGAAAAAAGGCUUCAUUGCUUGGAAAAUUGACUUAUCUAAGGCUUAUGACAGACUGAACUGGAAUUUCAUUAAGGAAGUGCUUUGGGAGAUUGGUUUCUAAGGCAUGAUUCUUGAUGUUAUCAUGAAGUGCAUUAUUUCUAUUCAGUAUAAAGCUAUCCUUAGUGGUGAGUUAACUGAGGCUUUUACACCUAUUUGUGGGAUUAGGCAAGGUGACCCGUUGUCCCCUUAUAUAUUUGUUUUGUGUAUGGAAAAGCUCUCUCACCUUAUUCAUCAUGGGUCCAUGAUAAUCUUUGGACAUCGGUGCAGAUUUGUCAAGGUGGUCCUUUUGUGUCUCACUUAUUCUUUACUGAUGACUUAAUUCUUUUCAGUAAAGCUUCCAUGAACCAGGCUAUGGUGAUGAAACAAUGUUUGGAUGAGUUUUGCAACCUCUCUGGUCAGAAGGUAAGCUUUGAGAAAUAUGUUAUUUCUGUUUCUCCAAAUACAAGCCAUGCACUUGCUUAAUCCAUUGCUACUGUUAGUAGAUCUCCCCUCACUGCCUGUCUUGGUAAAUACCUUGGAGUUCCUUUAAUUCAUAAAAAAAGUCACUAAGACCACUUAUAUUGAGAUUGUCGAGACGGUCCAGAAAAGGUUGUCUGCUUAGAAGAGUCAUUCCCUUUCCAUGACUGGUAGGUUUACUCUCCUACAAUCUGUUACUGCUGCCAUUCCCAUUUAUUCUAUGCAAACUGUUAAGUUACCUGUUUCCAUUUGUGACAAACUUGACCAGCUGAACAGGAAUUUUCUUUGCGGUCACACUAAUAAUUCAUGUAAGACCCAUCUUGUUAAUUGGGAUUCUGUUACUCAACCUAAGAUUUUUGGUGAGUUGGGCAUCAAGAAAACUGUGUAGAUGAACCAAGCUCUGUUGGCUAAAACUGGGUGGAGGUUGAUUCAAAAAGAUCAGGGUCUUCGGGCACAACUACAAAAAAGCAAAAAGACGACGGUAAAUCACCGUCGUGUAUUGGGUUUUUCAAUGGUCGUGGAAUCCACCGUCAUCUUUUCCCUCAUAAACCACGACGCUAAAUAACCGUCGUUGUUAAAAUAUACAACGUCAUCAACAAAUACAAAACGACGUCUUUGUACUGCAAAAAGAUCUAAAAAAAGCAAUCGAGGAUGAUAAUAGACGACCAACUCUCUAAAAAAACCGUCGUUAAAAAGGAAAAAUAUGACACAGAACAAGGCCGCAAGAUAGACAUACAACGACGAAAAUACAAAUACGACGACGUUAAAUAUAAUUUUCACGACAAUAAAAAAUAUGACGUCUUUAAAUACAUUAGAAGACGACGUUAUUGAUACCUACUACGUCGCAUAUAUAAAAACAACCGUCGUAAAAUUAAUUUUCCACUUCGAUUUUUCGAUAAAAGAUGACGUGGAAAUAGUUGUCAGUGUCAUUAUUUACGACGUAUAUGUUAAUAGAGUAGACGUUGAAAAACUAAACAACGUCGGUUACAAAUAUAUGAGAGUCGUAUUACAAAAUUUAUACGUCCUAUUUUCAGAAACAAACAACGGCGAUAAAUAUUAGACGUUGUUAAAUAAAACAACGUCGGAAAAAAAUAAAAACAGACGUGUUUAGUCUGCUAAAGUUCUAGAAAAUAGUCGAGGAUGAGAAUAGACGACCAACUCAAAAAAAUCACCGUCGUUAAAAAGGAAAAAUAUGACACAUAUUAAAAGAACAAGGCCGCAAGAUAUACAUACAACGACGACAACUAAAAUACUACGCCGUUAAAUAUAAUUUACCCGACAAGAAAAAAUAUGAGGUCUUUAAAUACAUGAGAAGACGACGUUAUUGAAAUCUACUACGUCUCUUAUUUACAAAAAACCGUCGUGAAAUAAAUUUUCCACUUCGAUUUUUCUAAAAAAGAUGACGUGGAAAUAGUUGUCAGUGUCAUUAUUUACGACGUAUACAUUUAUAUAGUCGACGUUGUAUUAUAUGUAUUCAUUACUCACGACGCACUUAAUAAUAUAGACGACGUUGAACUUCUAAACAACGUCGGUUCCAAAUAAAUGAGAGCCGUAUUACAGAACAUAUAGACGGCGUAGAUUAUGAUGAGAGCCGUAUUACAAAUAACGUCGUUUAAUUGUUAUUAGACGGCGGUUAUAAUGAAUUUCCGUCGAAAUUCAUUUCGUUCCUCUUCGUUUAUAAAAGAACUUGCGACGUGGAAAAUGUAUGAUGAUGUCGUAUUUUUUAACGUUCAGAUUAUAUAUCUCGUUUUUUAGACGUCGGUAUUAUGGGAUUGGAGUCGUGUUAUUCUGAAUUACAUGGCGGUUCUUAAUCCUUCACCGACGUGAUAUCCUGAAUAAUUGCUUCACAAUAGCGUCGUGGUUCUUCAUUGUUACGUUGCUUUAAGACGUCGGUAAAUAUGCUGAAUAACUGAUUCACAAUAACGUCGUGUUUUAUUUGAACGUAGAAAGUGAAGAAAUCGCAUUACAAUAUAUUACAAAAUUAAUGUCAUACACUGCCAAUUACAUAAGCAUCAUUCAAUCCAUAUAUCUUCACACCCAUCUCGAAUAUUUUGACCGCCUAACUCACCUACCAGUUCAUCAAAUGUGUCAACAUUUGGCAUCCCUCUAGUAAAUGGCUCACACUCAAUUAUCACAUCACCUAAGACUUCAUCACCAAUAACAUCAUUAUAUUCUCUAUUAGGCAUUGAUAACACUACCGACCAACCACGAUGCAUCGGGUCGUCAACAAAAAAUAUUUGUUUGACUUGAGAAGCCAAAACAAAUUGGUCAUUCCUAUGUCCAAUUUUACUCAAAUCUACAAGGGUAAAUCCAAGUUCGUCGACUACAAGACCAGAACUAUCUAUCCAAUCACACCUAAAGACUGGGAUUGUAAACUUUUGGUAGUCAAGGUCCCAAAUUUCUUGAAUGACACAAUAGAAACCCAUAUUUGAGAGAAUUGGGUUUUUAUCCUUGGCACUAGCAACUUGCAUGGUAUGUGCAAGUAAAUAAACUCCACUAUUUUGAGUUGUCCGCACAUCAUCUUGUGCCUUGAUAUUGAAUUUAAUACCUUUAAUAAGAUAGCUCCUAUAUAAUGGCACUGACAUGUUUGGACCAGCUGCUAGCCACCUUAAAUUUUCUGAUACGCCAUGAUUGUCUUCCUCAAGUUCACUUUGAACCUGCAAAUUAAUCAUAUCUUAAUUCAAUCUAACAUAUAAAUAAGAAGAAAAUUAAAAGAGAAAUAUGUUAUUCAACAACAUAUACCUUGAAGCGUAGCCAUUGAAUGAAAGUGCUAUUGUGCUUAUCCUGCAGCCACUUUGUUCUCUUUCUAAAUUUUGGAUAAGCAGUCUUGAUGUGAAUCAUAUGUUGCCUACAUGACACGAAAAAUUCAAGUAUUACGGUCCUAAAUAUAGAAGAUAAACAUAAGAAAUAAUUUAAAAUGGAAACUUAAAGAAUAAAGCUCAUACGUACUCGAUAUAAGGUAGGACUUCCUCCGUAUUCUCCAAGACAUAUAGAUGUGCUUGAUUCAACAGGUCCUGAUCAACUACGCUCACUGUGCAACCUGAUAAUGGCUUUGAAAAUCCCAUCUUUUGGCUUGAAGGCACUCCAACUGUACUAACAUCAGAUAAAUGCUGAGUACAACACUCUACCGCUUCUUCAGCUAUAUAACGCUCAGCAAUUCANNNNNNNNNNNNNNNNNNNNNNNNNNNNNNNNNNNNNNNNNNNNNNNNNNNNNNNNNNNNNNNNNNNNNNNNNNNNNNNNNNNNNNNNNNNNNNNNNNNNNNNNNNNNNNNNNNNNNNNNNNNNNNNNNNNNNNNNNNNNNNNNNNNNNNNNNNNNNNNNNNNNNNNNNNNNNNNNNNNNNNNNNNNNNNNNNNNNNNNNNNNNNNNNNNNNNNNNNNNNNNNNNNNNNNNNNNNNNNNNNNNNNNNNNNNNNNNNNNNNNNNNNNNNNNNNNNNNNNNNNNNNNNNNNNNNNNNNNNNNNNNNNNNNNNNNNNNNNNNNNNNNNNNNNNNNNNNNNNNNNNNNNNNNNNNNNNNNNNNNNNNNNNNNNNNNNNNNNNNNNNNNNNNNNNNNNNNNNNNNNNNNNNNNNNNNNNNNNNNNNNNNNNNNNNNNNNNNNNNNNNNNNNNNNNNNNNNNNNNNNNNNNNNNNNNNNNNNNNNNNNNNNNNNNNNNNNNNNNNNNNNNNNNNNNNNNNNNNNNNNNNNNNNNNNNNNNNNNNNNNNNNNNNNNNNNNNNNNNNNNNNNNNNNNNNNNNNNNNNNNNNNNNNNNNNNNNNNNNNNNNNNNNNNNNNNNNNNNNNNNNNNNNNNNNNNNNNNNNNNNNNNNNNNNNNNNNNNNNNNNNNNNNNNNNNNNNNNNNNNNNNNNNNAUACUCGAGAUCAAAGAAUAUUGAUUUCUUCUUCCAACAAACUCUGUCACCAUUUUCAACCAUAUGCAGCACUUCUUCUCCGGUUAAUGGCUCGGGAGGUAUGCCAUAUUCAGGUUUCCCAUUAAAAGCUGCACGUUGCCUCCUACAUGGAUGAUUGAUUAAUUGGUAACCAUUUUCUAUGCCCAAUGUAACAAAUUUUGUGGCCAUUUUUCAACCUGUGACUAGGUGUAUGAUCGCCGCAUAUUGGACAAGCUUUAUAUCCUUUAACAACACAACCAGAUAAGUUUCCAUAGGCGGGGAAAUCAUUAAUUGUCCACAUUAAUGCAGCUCUGAGUGUAAAGUAUUCUCCAUUAUGUGCAUCAUACACUCCUCUAAUCUCAUCCCACAAAGAUUUUAAAUCAUCAAUCAAAGGCUCCAAGUAGACGUCUAUAUCAUUUCCGGGUUGUUUAGGACCGGAAAUCAAUAAGGUUAACAUCAUGAACUUUCGUUUCAUGCACAGCCAUGGAGGGAGAUUAUAUGUAACUAAGAUAACCGGCCAACAACUAUAUCUGCUACUUAGAGAACUGUGGGGAUUGAAUCCAUCAGAUGAAGCCAAUCUCAAGUUUCUCGGCUCAUUACCAAACUCAGGCCAUUUAUCAUCAAGAAGUUUCCAAGACGGGGAAUCCGCCGGAUGAGACAUCUGACCGUCAAUUGAUUUUCUAGCAGCAUGCCAAGUCAAACUCUUAGCUGUCUCAUGUGAUUGAAACAUCCUUUUAAACCUUGGAAUUGGAGGAAAAUACCACACCACCUUCGCUGGCACACCCUCUUUCAAGAUUGAAUCUUUGCCUUCCUUCCACCUUGAGAUACCACAAGUAGGACAAUUAGUUGAAUCCUCAUACUCCUUCCUAUACAAGAUGCAAUCAUUGGGGCAUGCGUGCAUUUUCUCAUAACUCAGCCCCAAUGCACACAAAGUCUUUUUAGCCUCAUACAUAGAGGUUGGUAUUGUAUUUCCUUCUGGAAGCAAAUCGCCUUGAAGUAUCAAUAAUUCUGUAAAACAGACAUCACUCAUCCCAUGUUUUGCCUUCAAAUUAUACAACUUCACUAAUGCCGAUAACUUCGUGUACUUUCUACAACCAGGGUACACUGGUUGAUCUCCAUCCCCAAUCACAUUGGCAAACUCAUACGGAUCGGAACCAAAAUCAUUAUCAUCCAUAUCAAUUUCUUCAGACACAAAACUGUACCUACUAUGGCCAUCAUCUUCUUCAACAUUUCUACUAGCAUUAGUAGUUGCUUCCCAAGGUUCUCCGUGAAAUGUCCAAUUCUUAUAGCUUUGGUCAAUUCCAUUAAAGUAUAAGUGAUCCCUUAUAAUUCCAACCCCAAACAACUUCAAAUUAACACAUUUAACACAUGGACAACGGAUAUGUGUUGUAGUUAGAAGAUUUUCUACAGCAAAGUUCAAAAAUGCUUCCACCCCAAACUCAUAUGCCUUCGAUCUUCUAUCCGAGUGCAUCCAUGACUUAUCCAUCUCCGACACUAUAACCUAUUAUCUAUAAUAAAGUGAAAAUACAGGCAAUGACCAUCACUAUAGCAGAUUAUACAAAGAUCUAAUAGCAAGUAAUACACAACAGAGACGACGGGUUUUAAACAAAAACAGACGUAUUUGGCAUAUAUAGACGACGGAUUUUCAACAGACGUCGUCUAAUAUAAGUAAUACAAACGACGGUUUAUGAAAACACCGUCGUGUAUAAUUAAUACAACGACGGUUUUUUCAUAAACCGUCGUGUAAUCGUCGUCGUAUGCCUAAAAAGGCGUCGUGUCUCAGUUUAUUUUCAAGAACCCAAAACCCGUUAAGAACACAACAUAUAUAUGAAACCAAGCAAGAAAACAACAUAUACAUGAAACCAAGCAUGAAAACAAUAAAUCCAUUCCCAAUUCAACAUAACAUAGGGUGAUUAAAAGAUCCGACAAAAUUAAAUCCAUUCCCAAUUCAACAUAACAGAUAAUGUAAUCCAUAAACCCAUUAAACAGAAAAUCCAUGAACCCAUACUUAUAAGCACAUUAUUAACAGAUCGCAAAGCAUAUACCUAAAACCCUUUAACAAAACAACCUAAUAUCAUUCAAUGAAUUUACAAGGGGAAGAUAGGGUUUGUACUUACAGGUUGGACGAGCUCACAGAUUCGACGGAGCAGAAGUGACAGAGCAACUUUUAAUUAGAGCAACUUUUAAUUAGAGCAGAAGUGAUAAAGCGAAAUGUUAUGUUGCACGAAAUCUGAAAAUUUUAGGGUUCAGGGUUAGAAGAAUAAGAAUAAGAGCCAAAUAUAAAAAAAUUUAGGACGCGCGAAAAUUUUUAGAGCGCGUGCUCUUUAAAACGUCGAAAGAAAAACCAUGGCGAAAGUUCUACAAGAACCGACGUAAAUGUAAUAUUCCACGACGGAAACACUGAACGUAACGCCGUUUAUUUUGACGCUUCAUUUUUCAGAUUAAUUUUAAAUUUAUUUUCAAUAUUUUGAUAUAAAGACGACUGAAAAACCACGUCGGGGUUAAGAAAUUGAAAACGUUGUAAAUUAUAAUACACGACUUACAUAUUAAAAUGAUGUCGUUUAACGCAGAAACCAUGUCGGAUAAUUUACUGCACGACGUAACAUAUGUAUUCCACGACUCAACCACCGUCGUUAACAAUUAAUACCCUAAACCCUUAAAACUAAAUUAUAUAAUUUUAAAAAUUAAGUUUAUAAAAGGGUUUAUGGUUUUACAGCCUAAUAUAUACCCUAGACUACCCAAAAAUUUUACUUUAAAAAUAAACCCCAAUAAAUAACAACCCUAAUCUCUAAACCCUAGACUCUAAACCCUAAACCAUAAAACUAGAAGUGAUUUUAUGACUCAUCAAAACAAUUUUGUUUUGGAUGUUCAUUUUAAAUUUUUCUUAUUCAAAAUGAAUUUUUUCAAGCUUUAGGGGGAAGAAAAUAUAUCAAUGACUUCAUAGGAGUUGACUUUGCAUUUUUCUGAUUUAUUUUAAAUUUAUUUUGAAUAUUUUGAUAUAAAAAUAAUAAAAUAUUCUUAUCACAACAACAAACCACGUCGGUGUUAAUAAAUUGUAGACGUUGUAAAUUGUAAGAGACGACUAAGUUGUUAAAAUGACGUCGUUUAAAUGAGAAACGAUGGCGGAUAUUUAACUAUCCGACGUAAAAUAUAUAUUCCUCGACUUAACCGCUGUCGUUACAAAGUACUACCCUGAACCCUUAAGAAAUUGAAGACGUUGUAAACCAUAAACGACUCCAUUGUUCAAAGAACGUCGUCUAAAUAUCCUUUUACGUCGGAUUUGUUUAAAACGAAACCACAAAAAACGACGGCUUUUGACUUUAUUACGUCGUUGGAAAAUUAUUACACGUCGGUAACGCAUUUUGUAUGUUUGUUUUUGUUUUUAUUUUAAGAAAACCUCAACAAAUUUUUACAUUAUAUAUUAUAGACAAAAUUUGUACAUUAUACAUAAAUAUCAAGUGUUCAAUAAUUCCCCUAUUCCAGUUGAAGGCAAACAAACUCUGCCCAUUCAUUCCGGACUUCAUCAAUUGCUUCUUGGGGGUACGGCUCUUCCUGUUUUCCCUUCGCAUACUGCAUAAAAACAAUGACUAUUAGAGUUUAUAAAUAAAAGGAAAUUCAAUCACAGACGACCAUAACCGACGUAGUAUAUCUAUUCAACGACGGUAAUUUUACAUGACCGUCGUUGAUAAUACAAAAAACGACGUAAAACGUUUGAAGGUUAUUUCUUCUUACCUUCUUCUCAAACCCCAAGGAAGGAUCCAUGAUGAUGUCCUUCAUGAAGCGCAUCACGUAAUACCCGCAUUCGACAUUGCUGGGUUGCUUUGGUGUGCCUGACAGAGUUUUCCAAAUGACUGCCUUACGGCCUGAUCUAGCUAUGUGGGAAUUAUAAAUUUUUAUGGCACUGUUCACGAUGUUUUUGGCCUCUUCAUCGACCACACGAUAUCCUGGCAGAGGAUCCAGAAAAUAGACUGUUUCCCUCUUUGCUCUUACAAUCAGCAAGAUCCAAUGACGGCUGCACAAAAUUAAUAUAAAAACGACGGUUAUUUACAAAAACGACGUAUUAUAAUAUUUCACACGACGAAAUAAAGUAGCAAUCGACGACAUUAUAUAUUUAUCACGACGAUAAAUAACUACCGACGUGGUUAGUCGUUUCAAACGACUCAAUAAAAUAAAACACCGACGUGGUUAGUUUAUACGCUGUCAUUUAUUGAAAAUCAUAAAAACAAAAUCCUGUUAAGGAGACUAACCCUGGAUUGUAAGGCAUCAGGAAAAUCUGUUCACCGUCAGUCUUCUGAAGUCGUGAUGCUACCAUUCGUGAUCUGUCAGCUAUUGUGCCAGAGCUGGCACUAACUGUAGCAGGGUCGAUAAAGCCAACCAUUGUGCACAUAUUUGCUUGUUUUAAAACAUCGUGUAAGUACCUAAAUAUAUAAAAUAAUAUAAACAAGUCAGCGCAAAAAAAACACACGACGGUUAUGUAUAACAAAACGACGUAUUAUAAGGUUUCACACGACGUACUGAAAUAGACAACGACGUUAUAAUAAAUUUAUCACGACGGUACAUACUAACGACGUGGUUAGUUAGUUAAGACGACGCAAUAAAUAAACCAACGACGUAUUAUUUUAGAAUGACAAACCUCAUAUAUACAGCAAUGACUGUAGCUCCUAUUUCCUCCAUGCCUGCAAAUUGUGUAAUAUCUUCAGGCAGGAGGAAGGUAUCGCGCUCUAGACCAAAGACCUCCUUAUCAAUUGUAAAGUGCAGGGUCUUAUCCUGAGGCACGAGUGUCGUUUCCACAUAACAACAAAGGGUUUGUAAAGAAGAUGGCGCCUCCAUAAUUGAAUAAUCAACAACUUUAGUAACAUGUUUAAAGAAAUAAAAAAAAUGACGUGGUAAUUCAAUAAAAACGACGGUUUAAGGAAUAAAACGUCGUCUGAAAACAAUUUAAACGACGGUGAAAAAACCGUCGUGGUGAAUUAUUUAUUACGUCUUAGGAAACAAUUCCGCCGUCUAAGUUGUAAACAAACGACGGUUUAAAGAAAAAUAUCGACGUCUGGAAUUUUGAAAAACAAAUAAAAAAAGGCAAAGUUAUGUGAACAUACCUGGUCGUCAUCUUCUUUCUGCUUUUCAUCUUGUUUUUCUUCUUUAUUCUCUUCAUCUAUGACGUCGGGAAUGAUUAACUCCGUCGUCUAAAAACUACAAAGUUUUAAAAAUAACGACGUUUAAUGGCGUGUAAAACAAGUAAACUAAAUACGACGUGGUAUUGAAAUACAAACGACGGUUUAUUUUUAAAAUCGUCGUGGUAUGUAUUUCAAACGACGGUUUUAUUAAUAAUAACGACGUCUAAUGGUUUUUAAAAAAACAGAGAAUUCAAAGUUCAGAUAUGUUACCUUUUCUUCCUGAUGUUUCCCAUUUUUGGCAGUAUCAUCCUCAAAAUGCUGGGAUCUCACAUCACCUCCAGAGCAGCUUGCUUUGUCAGACAUUGGAUUUUUGGGACUUUGGCUAAUUCUGGGUUUAAGCAUGCUUGUAUCAAAAUUGGGAAUUAAUUGGGAAAGCUGACUCAGGAAAUGCUCCCUCUCAGCCUCUACCAAUUGUUUCGUUCUAGCCUCCAUCCUUAAAGCCUCUUCCCUUGCCUUAGCCUCCAUCUUUCUAGUCUCUUCUUGAAGGAGAACUCUUAAACUGUCCUUCAAACGGUCGUCAAAGCUCACUCUCUGUGGUUUGGGUAAAUUGAAAUAUUGCUUUGGUGAGAUCCCAGCACCUACUCCUCUGACUCUGCCUGGAUGCUCGGGGCCCAAAGCCAUGGUCAGCACAUCAUUGCUGCCAGAGACGGUGACUUUGCCUUCCGAGACUUGUUUUUGCAAAUCAUCCUGAAACAAAGAUAUAUAAAAAAGUGAGAACAAAAACACACGACGGUUAUUUAUAUACAAACGACGUAUUAUAUAAUUUCACACGACGCAAUAACAUAUAAAUCGACGUUAUUAUAAUUUAUCACGACGGUAGUUAUACCGACGUGGUUAUUUCUUUAAAACGACGAAAUUAAUAAACCACCGACGUCUUAUGUAACAGAGGGAUGAUUCAAUAUUCACACCUUUAACGACGUUGUUUAAAACAUUUCGACGUAGUAAUUUAAUACAGACGACGCGAAAUCGAACCACCGACAUCUUAUGCUAUAAUUACAGAAAACGGAGUUGUGAUUCCUAUUUAGACCUUUAACGACGUGUUUUAAAAAAUGUCGACGUGGUAAUAUCAUUCACACGGCGCCAAAUAUAACAUAAGACCUAAUAAGAAUUAUUCACAGUUUAAUAAAAAUUUAAAACAGAGUGAGUAGGCUUACAAUUAAUUUUGCUUUCUCUGCCACCUUUGGAUCAGGGAUGUUACCAUGUUUGUCCUGUCUAGCUCUCUUCCAUAAGGUAGAUCGAUCAAUUUCUACCCCAGGCAUGGUUUCCUCUAAUUGAUCCUCCAAACCAGCAUAUCCUUUUCGAGACAAUCGAUGAUUGUACUCGAGUUUCUCCCUAAUCUGUGCAUGUUGAGAAUGCACAGACUCAAAAUCUUUGGAUAGCCCUGAAGCUACAAAGGCAUCCCAUUGUGCUUUCUCUAUGAAUUUAUAUGUUUCAGGGGGUUGGCUUAAUCUCUCCCUGUCAUUGGUGUAUGGAAGGAUAUAAUGCCUUGUUAGUGUAGACUUGAAAUCCUUCCAUUUCUUGGCAGCAGAAGCUAAGACAGAGUUCUUGCCCCCUUGACCUACUACAAAAGCAAUGUCAACUGCUUCCCAAAUCUGCUCCUUUAUAUCCUUGGGGAUUUGAGCCCAUUUCAAGUCCACAAGUGGGACUCUGGAGCGUGCCAACACACCAAUAUAGGACUGCAUCUCACUGUGUGCUUGGCCAAUUCCUUUCCCCCUUUUAUUGUACUCAACGAUUGGCCUCAGUUUCUGAAGUUUUCUCUUCACAACACGAGGCAUUGUGCUCAUACCUCGACCAGCCUUUGAAUCAUCAGAGAUUGUUGUCGCGCUGGUUGGUUCUGUAUCAGCAGAUGAUGAAGCAAACUUCAUCUUCUUCGAAGACUUCAUUAUCUUCGAAGACUUCUCUUGAGGAGGUACUUGCUCCUUACCUCCAUUUUUGUUGGAGCCAGAAUCCUUACUUUGGUCUUGGUGAGAAACCAUUUUUACAGACAAAACUGCAAGUGAAAAUAUUUCAAGAAAAGAUUAAGAACACAAACGACGGUUAUUAAUAAAAUACGACGUAUGAUAUGAUUUUAAACGACGCAAUGAAAUAAUAUCAGACGUAAUAAAUGUUUAAAACCAAGGUAAUUAAACAACGACGAAAUAAUUAACUACAAACGACGUAAUAAUUAACUAUAAACGACGGAAUAUUUAUAUAACGUCGUGGUAUUGAUGUUCACACGACGUCAGUAGUAAUAUACCGUCGUCUAUAUAAGGAUCCAAAACCCUUCUUUCUUUCUCUGUGAAUGUUUGAUUGCAGAUUUGAUUUUUCUGAACCAUGGUUUUCGUUUUCUAAUUUGAUAAAAUACAAGGCCAAGAAAGAAAGUUUUGGAAUCUUAUAUAGACGACGGUAUUUUAAUAUGACGUCGUGGUAUUAACAUUCACACGACGUAAAACAAUAAGAUACUGUCGUCUAUAUUAGAUACCAACCCUAAUUUCUUUUUCUUUAUAUUUUAUCAAAUUAGGGAAAAACAAAAACCAUUGUCCAGAGAAAUCAAACCUGCAAUUAAACAAGCAAAUAAAAAAAAGACUAUAAUUUUAAAAACAACUUUGUCAAUUUUCAGACGACGCUAGAACGACUGACGAACCGUCGUGGUCUACAUAUUUAACCACGUAAAUAAGAAGCUACCGUCGUCUUAUUUAGUUGAGGUAGUUGUCUUCAAAGUUGGAAACUUUCCCUCUUUGUCUGUAUAUUUUUUCGAACUUGGAAAGAAGUAAAAUGAUUUUGGCCAGAAAAAAGGUAAAAAGAUUUUUCAAACAAAAAACAUAUGAGCAUGCAAAACAGCAACCAAAAUAGUGAAAAUGAAAGCUUACCUUUUGCGUGCAAUGAAAGCAAGAGGAAGACGAUCGAUGUUUAAGUUCAGAGACGACGAAGAAGAUGAGAGGAAGACGAUGAGAUACUCUGAAAGUGCUCUGACAAGGAAAAAAGUCUAAAAGUUUUCUCUGGGAGAUUGAAAUUUUUAAUCGGGUUUGGAAACAGUGCAUGUGUAAGACAGGUACACGAAAAGUUGCUUACAUAUAAAACCAUUUCAAAAAAUAAUACGGCGGUUACAUAUAACUACGACGUAUAAAUUACAAAAUACGACAGUACGUUUAACUUCGGACGUGGUAAAUAAGUACGACAGUAGUGUUGUAGGUACCGUCGUAGUAAACAUAAAAAUUAAAGUACAUAAGUAAUAACUCGCGUCAUGGUAGAUCAUUUAACACAUCGGUUUUAUUAAUGUACCGACGUGGAUUUAUGUAAUAUACGUCGGUCAUAACGACGUUGAUUUUAAAAUUUAAACGGCGGUUUUUUUGUAAGGACCGCCGUUGGUUUUAAAAAUUUAUUCUAUAAAUUUGUCGCUUUCAUUCAUUUUCGGUUUACAUUUAGGGUUCCAAGUUCUUCCUCUCUCAGAGACACUGUCUCUCACAUCUCAAAGACAGUAAUUUGGAUGUCUUUCUCAAAGAGAAAUUGAGCUUACUCGCAUCAAAUCUAUGUCCACAAGAAGAAGCUUGUCAACUAGCCUUCUCACUUCCUUGAUCAAGCCUGAUAGGACAUUUAGUGCUUCUGAAUACUCCUUGCUUUCCAUCAAAAGAGAUGCAAGCCUGGCCUCCACUCGCUGUCGAAGGAAAGUUCGCUUCUCAGGGAAAUCUGAAGAUCAGAUGUGCCUGAUCCUCUGCUUGAUUUUCUUGGCUAAGAAGAUCCGUCAGAUUUGUGAUAGCCUCUUCCUUUAUCCGUAGAGCUUCAGAAGAAGAAGAUGGGUUUCAAGAAUGCGAUAAAGAAUAGAAAUGGCUUCAUGAAUGCGAUAAAGCAUGAGCAAUCGAAUCAGUGCUUUGAACUAUACUCUGAACUAUACAAGUCAAUGCUUUGAACUAUACAAGUCCUGCAGAAAGAUAAAGGACCAAACUGUUAAAGAAACUGAAACUAUUAAAGAAACCAUAAACUAACACGACGCAAUAUUUGUUUUGCGACGUGGAAUCUUUUCAUUUAACGUCGUUAGGUUUAAUAUAACCGACGUGGAUUUGAAUUGUUAAAUUAUGAAUAGAAAUUUUUUUCCCGUGACCUUUCAGUUUAUUUUUCAAUUACAGUGCGUUAUAAAUAGAGUUUUUUUUCCGGAGGAAAUUUAAAAUGAAGGAAAUUAAUGUUCUGGAUUAUGUAAAGUUUCUUUUUUGGAUGACAGAUUUCAAUUCUUGUCAUUAAGUAGAUCUACCGACGUAGGAUAAGAAAAUAAAGGAAAAAAUUGUUAACAAAAAUUCUUAUUAAGACGACGGUUUAAAUUAAAGGUACGACGUAUAAAAUUAAUAAAUACGACGUUAACUUUUAUAGUACGAUUUAAAGAUAACGUCGUAGAACUAUACAAGAAUAACGUCGCUAUAUUUAUAUUUUCCGUCGUUGUAAAUUAAUUUAAUACGGCGACAUUUUGUAUUUUAAAGCCGUCGAUUUGUUUGUAAUUAUACGGCGUCUUAUACGAAAAUUUCGUCGUGUUAUUUUAUGAGUAAAAACGGCGGCUUUUAUUGAAAUCGUCGUCUUUACUUUCUACGUCGGUCGAUUCAUAACUUCUGUCGUUCUUUGUUGGCUUUGAUUUUACACUGCGGAAAUCUGUUUCAAAUAGACGUCGGUUUUUUAAUUAGGUACCUCGUUGUUUUUGAACAGCCAUUUGAAUCUCCAUUUUUAGUUGUCUAAGGUGGUAUUACACGACGGUGUUUUUAGAACCGUCGUCUUUUUAAAAACCACGACGGUUUUCACUUAGACCGUCGUUGUUUUCUGGUCGUCUUUUUCACUUUUUGUAGUAGUGGGGCCAAGGUCUUGAAUUCUAAGUAUUUGAGACAAUGUGAUCUUAUUGUUGCUAUGAAUCCCAACACUAGUUGUGUUUCCAGUGUGUGGAGGGGUGUUUUAUUUGGUGCUAAGCUUCUUCCUCGUGGUCUCAAUUGGAGAGUUGGAACUGGUGAUACCAUCUUGUUUUGGACUGACACGUGGGUGAGUUGUGGCCCUUUACAAAAUUUUGCCACCAUUUUCUUGUCUGAUGAUAUGCUUCUUACUGUGAGUGACUUCAUGGAGCAUGGGUAUUGGAAUGUCAACUGCUUACUGGAUUGCCUGCCUCUCAACAUUGUUCCUCUGAUUUGAAGUACUCAUGUCGGCUUCUAUGGAGGUAGGAUUGAUAGUUGAGUAUGGAAGCUCUCCUCUAACGGUGAGCUCUCUGUUAAAACUGCCUAUAACUCUAUUGUCCCUGGAAAUGGGAAUUUAUCAGGACGCUCCACAUCCCCCCAAAGAUUAAAACCUUUUUGUGGGUUUUAUGUCAUAACAAGCUCUUGACUAAUGCCAACGUGUCAAAAGAGGACUUGCCUCUUCUGCUAAUUUUCCUCGCUGCAAUUACCCCAUUGAAUCUAUUGAGCACCUAGUAAAAGAUUGUAGUUUCUCUACAGCUAUUUGGAGUAAGUUUGGGUGUAACUCUACUCUUCCCAGUUCCUUUGCGGCAGAUUUUGAUGAUUGGCUGUUUCACAACCUUAAGUCCAGAAAAUUUGUUUGUGAUGAUAUGCCUUGGUACAUGGUUUUUGCUGUUUGUCUUUGGUAUAUUUUUGGAAGUGGCGCUGUAAACUUAUUUUUGAGCAAGGAUUUGUGAUGCCUAUUGAGCCUCAACAGGUGAUUUUACAGUAUGUUGUUGAGUGGUUCACUGUGUUAGUGAGAUCCUAGCUUAAUUAGGAUAUUUAUUUCCUAGUUUAUUAGGAUUAUAGUUCUUUCCUUUUGUAUAGAUAUUGUGUAAUUAUGAUUUUAUCUUGUUUCCUAGUUUGACCAUACUAGGGUUACAUCCUUCUACUAUAAAGACCUUAUUUUGGAUAAUGAAAUAUUACCUGAAAAAUAUUCUACCCAUGUUGUUUGACUUGGUAUCAAAGCCAACUUUUUCUGGUGACCUGUGUGUUGUGCCCACCCGUGUUCUAUCCCCAUAUUUUUUUUCUCUACCUGUGCCAUGUGUGCCCUCUUAGGUUUGUGUGUUGUGCUGUAGUGUUCGUGCCUCUACUGUGUUUAUGUCAUUCCUGUCUUCGUGCAUCUGCCGUAUUUGUGCCUUUGCUGUGUUCCGCUGUGUACUCUGCUGUGUUCAUGCAUGUCUUCGUGCAUCUGCCGUAUUUGUGCAUCUGCUGUGUUCUGUUGUAUACUCUGCCGUGAUCUGUUGAGUUUCUGCUGCAAUCAUGGGUGAUAACUCCAUUGUUGGUGUUGUUGCUGCUGCUGCCUCUGCAAAUUUAUGUGUUUCUGAUUCUAUUCCAGGUACUGGCUCCAAUACUUGGAUAAUUGACACUGGUGCUUCUGAUCAUAUGACUUAUUAUGCUAAUUUUUUUUAUGAAUUGUCUGGUAACACCUGUGACCCAUACAUAACUAGUGCUAAUGGCUUGCCCUCUCCAAUUACUGGUGAGGGCACAAUCUCUCUCACUUCUACUCUGUCCUUGUCUCGUACAUUACUAGUUCCUAAUAUCCAUUGUUAUCUGUUGGUCGAUUCUUGACACAUUUAAUGCUUCUGCUACUUUCUAUCUUACGCAUUGCUCUUUUCAGGAUAUCAAGACUCACGAGACAAUUGGGCAUGGUAAACGGAUAGGGGGUUAUAUUAUUUGACAUUGCCUUCUGCACCUGUUCGCGAUCGUGUCGUUAAUACUGUUCAAAGUUGCAGUGUCAAAGACAAACAUCAAAUUUGGUUUUGGCAUCGUCGCUUAGGACACUCGUCAUUUGGCUACCUUAAGCGUCUGUUUCCUUUGAGUGACAGUAAAGCUGCAAGGCCUUUUGAUUUGGUGCAUUCUGAUGUACGGGGUCCGGGUCGCGUUACUUCAAACGAAUUUCGUUGGUUCGUCACAUUUAUUGAUGAUUGUAACCGACUUACUCGGGUUUUCUUGCUGAAAAAUAAACAUGAUGUUGCUUCCAUCCUUCUAGAGUUCUGUACUGUGGUGUCUACUUAGUUUCAUUUUCGGGUCAAAGUAUUUCGGACUGAUAAUGGAGGUGAAUAUGUGAAUAACAGUUUGACAUCUUUCUUCCGUUCUUAAGGUAUUAUUCAUCAAACGACAACCCCAUUUACUCCUCAGCAAAAUGGUGUGUCUGAACGCAAGAAUCGUCAGUUACUUGAAGUUGCCUGCUUCCUUAUAUUGGACAUGUCUGUUACCCAUCAUCUUUGGAAGCAUGCUGUUUUAUCUGCUGCCUAUUUGAUUAAUCGUACUCCUAGCGGGGUUCUUGAUUUCAAGACUCCACAUGAUGUGUUUGGUGACCAUGUAUCCCCUGUCUCAAUCUCCAAGUUGCCCUCUAAAGUUUUUGGGUGUGUUGCUAUGUUCAUGUCUACUCUCGUCAACGGAGUAAACUUGAUCCUUGUGCUCUGUGAUGUGUCUUUAUUGAUUACUCUUCUACUCUGAAGGGUUAUAAGUGCUAUCAUCCACCUACCCCAAAGGUGCAUGUUACUUUGGACGUGACUUUCCAUAAAGAAGUGCCCUAUUAUGUCUCUCCCUCCUCUCCAAUUCAGGGGGAGAGGGGGAGUGAAUUAGAGAGACUAGGAUUGGAGAAUGAUGUUUUUGAAGAUACUGCUCUUAGGAAGGAAACGACUUGUGAAAGGACCCGCCCAGAAUUUUCUCAAAACCCGAGACGAACCCUUUGGAAUUCCUGACAUCACCCCGAUGCCAGACCCACUUACUAAAAACCGAGACUCCCUGCCGAAAUUUCGGCAGAGUCUCCCCUAUAAAUUGGACAUUUCCCAAAAUUUAUACCUGCAUAAAAACGCAUUUAAUAUCCACAACUGGCAGCAUGCACAAUAUAAUUUCAUGCAAUUCAGACAAAUGGCCUUCGGCCUUCCAAUAAUUCUUAACCGAUUACCAAACAAUUCAAAUACCAGAAAUGACUAAUAUUUAGUCUACGGCUGCGCCUAAUUACCUUAGGUUGCCUACGUACCCUCCUUGAGGGAUCAAGCCACACGUAGUUCUUCCAUAAAACCCAAUUCCACACUUAGGCGAUACCUUAUUUCAUUUCGCUGUAUUUCAUAUAAUCUCCCCAUACGCCGGUACAACCAACGCCACGUAUGGGGCCUGUCAACACGCCGGAUAACCUACGCCACGUGCGACCAUGCCAUACUAUUAUUAUAUCUCCCCAUACGCCGGUACAACCAACGCCACGUAUGGGGCCUGUCUCAAUGCCGGAUAACCUACGCCACGUGAGACCAUGCCAUACUAUCAUUAUAUCUCCCCAUACGCCGGUACAACCAACGCAACGUAUGGGGCAUGUCUCAACACCGGAUAACCUACGCCACGUGAGACCUGCACAACAUAUCACAUAACUCCCCAUACGCCGGUACAACCAACGCCACGUAUGGGGCCUGUCCCAACGCCGGAUAACCUACGCCACGCGGGACCUCAAUAUCACAUCACAAAUCUCCCCAUACGCCGGUACAACCAAUGCCACGUGCGACCUCAACACAAUAUCACAUAGCUCCCCAUACGCCGGUACAACCAAUGCCACGUAUGGGGCCUGUCUCAAUGCCAGAUAACCUACGCCACGUGAGACCUGAACAUAAUAUCACAAAUCUCCCCAUACGCCGGUACAACCAACGCCACGUAUGGGGCCUGUCCGCAUGUCGGAUAACCUACGCCACGUGGGACCUCACUUUCACUUAGUGGUGCUUGUAGUGAAUCCAAAAUCCGGGGAGGUACCUAAAGUAGUGCGUAUAGCACUCCAAACUGACACUCUAGACUCUGUUGUACCCUUGUACAACCACAUAUAAUUAUAAUUAUAUAAAUAAAUUCUAAUAUUGUGUAGCCUUACACAAUAGCCUAGCACCCGAUAAUCUUCCCUGGAAAGGUGAGAUUACUCCGGGAGACUCACGGUCAACAAAGGGUCAAACUACUCUAACCCUGGUCAAACGGACCUGCGGAACCCACGACCUCCAAUUUCCGAUCCGAAAGUCCCUAUGGGUUCUACCAGGUGUAGGAAACUUGUCCUGCAAGUUUGGUUCAGAUCGAACAGUCGGAUUGCUCACGAUCGCACGAUCUGACGGUUAAUAUAAAAUAUAAACUUUAAAUUAUUAUUCGGAACAUCCGGGGCUCCGAUUCACGAUCCGUGAAUUCCUACACGAUCCUAGAAAUACCUAGAUUAACAUAUAUUAAAUUUGGGACCAUCCGACGGUCCCAACCUAUCGAACCCGGAUAACGCAUAAUAUGCGAUUAUCCGUUCGAUAGUCAAACGAUGUCCGAAUUGAGAUCCGCGAAAUCCUACGCACUCGUGACAACCUAAGGAUCACAUUAGAACACAGUGCUAUUUUUCUACAGUGCCCACGCGCCGGCGCACGCGCUGGCAGCACGUGGGUGCCCAAAGCGAUAACGCUUCGCCAGAAAAUCUUAAAACCACAGCUCCAAAUUCCUACCCUAGGUAUAACACCCUAUUUGGAGCCACUUUUGUUCUUGGACCUACCCCAAAAAGUGGCCGAAAAUGGCCGAUCACGGCGGCAGAAGUUUCGGCCGAUUUUCAAUUCGAAAAUCGAGUGAUCUAGAGAUCGAAUCGAUCAAAACCCAACCAACAGGCAGCUAGAACAGCUCGAGAGGUUCAAGAUCCAUACCUGGGUCGACGGAAAUGGUGGCCGGAGGAGGGAGAUCGACGACGUUGAAGUUUCGACGACUUCCCGGCGGUUUUCUGCAUUUUCCGGCCAACACAGGCCGCGUCGCCGGCGGGAAACGGUCGGGGAAGGAAGGGGACGUCGUCCCGGUCAUUUUGGUACCGGCCCCGCUCACAGCCGUGGUCGAUGGCCGAAGAUACAAGGAGAGAAAUAGAGAGAGCCGACGGGAGAGAGAGAGAGAAGUCGCGGGAGAGAGAGAGAGAGAGAGAGAGAGAGAGAGAGAGAGAGAGAGAGAGAGAGAAAAUCAGAUUUUUAUAAAAAUCCCAUUUUGAAAUAUUUACGAUUGUGCCACUGGGUUUCUUUUGACCAUAUCUCUCUCGUUACCACUCCGAUUCGAGCCCACUACGUGUCUAUGAACUCGUCUCAGUACGACCUAUCCAAAAAUACAAGUCGCGGUCCCAAACUCUCUCCGGUUAAAAAUAUGACUAAAAUACCCUUAAAUAAUUAAAUAAUUAAAUAAGGGUUAAAUUUGGAGUCGGGGUGUUACAACUUGUCGCAUUGAAGUAAGUGACUGGUCGCCCAUAUCUGAAGAUGAAACUUGUGGUCUCUGUGAAGAAACGACUGAUCGCCCUUUGGAACUCGACCGGUCGCCCAUAUUUAGAGAUGAAGCAGGUGCUCUUGGUGUCGAAACGACCGGUCACACUAAAGCAAGUAACCAGUCGCCUAUAUCUGAAGAUAAUGACAGUGAUUCUUGUAUGGAUAAGUUCGAUGCAAUACCCCCAGCUGCCCUGCCAAUGCCCUAAUCUACUCGUGAUAGUGAAUCAAGUGAGGUAAUUUCUAAUGAUCUAUCUGUGUUAACUUAUCAGUUACCCCCACGAAUCACUCAUGGGAAACCUAAAGUACAAUAUUCUCCUGAUAUACAUGCCAAGUCUAAAUAUCUCAUUAGCCGUUAUGUGUCAACUCUUCGUUUAUCUAAGUCAUAUGCAUCAUCUUUGUGUCAAUUAUCUAGUGUAUGUGUGCCAACUAAGCUGCAGGAUGCUUUAUCUAACCCCAAAUGGAUGGAUGCCAUGUAUAAUGAAAUGGAUGCCUUGAACAAGAAUAAAACAUGGGAUUUAGUUCCUUUGCCACGAGCGAAGAAAGUUGUUGGAUGCAGAUGGGUGUUUACUUUGAAGCAUAAAGCUGAUGGUUCCAUUAACCGUUACAAGGCUAGAUUGGUAGCAAAGGGUUAUACUCAGACUUAUGGAGUGGAUUAUUUGGAGAAAUUUGCUCCAGUGGCAAAGCUCAAUAAUGUGUGUGUACUAUUGUCCCUGACUGCUAACCGCGACUGGCCCUUAUUACAAUUCGAUGUCAAAAAUGCGUUUCUACAUGGUGACCUCAAGGAGGAGAUUUACAUGGAUCUCCCUCCUCGUAUUCCUGUAACCUCUAAGGAGGGUGUUGUGUGUAAGCUGCGGAAGUCUUUAUAUGGAUUAAAGCAGUCUCCAAGAGCAUGGUUUGAGAGAUUUGCAGCAUCUAUGAAGAAAUUUGGGUAUGUGCAGAGUAACUCAGACCAUACUUUGUUUCUAAAGCAUCAUAAAGGUAAAUUGACAGCUUUAAUUAUUUAUGUUGAUGAUAUGAUUGUAACUGGAGAUGAUCAGGCAGAAAUGCAAAAUCUUCAGAAGCAUCUCGCAUCCGAGUUUGAGACAAAGUCAUUGGGUGAUUUGAAGUACUUUCUUGGGAUUGAAGUUGCCAGAUCUAAACAUGGUAUCUUUCUGUCUCAAAGAAAGUAUAUUUUGGAUUUACUUGCAGAGACUGGAAUGUUGGAUUGUAAACUAAUUGAUACCCCUAGUGAACAGAAUCAUAAGUUGGGGUUAUAUCAUGAUCAAGUCCCUACAGAUAAAGAGCGUUAUCAACGACUUGUGGGGAAAUUGAUUUAUUUAUCUCUUACACGUCAUGAUAUUGCAUAUGCAGUGAGUGUAGUGAGUCAGUUUAUGCACUCUCCUAGUGAAGAUCAUAUGGGUGCUGUGAUGCGUAUUUUGAGGUAUUUGAAAGUAACUCCUGGAAAGGGGUUAAUGUUUUGCAAGUAUGGUCAUACAGAUGUGGAAGGGUAUAUGGAUGCUGAUUGGGCUGGUUCAGUCACUGAUAGACGUUCUACGACUGGGUAUUUCACAUUUGUUGGUGGUAAUCUUGUUACUUGGAUGAGUAAAAAGCAAAAAGUGGUGUCUAGGUCUAGUGCCGAGACCAAGUACCAUGGAAUGGCUCAAGGUGUGUGUGAGUUACUAUGGUUGAGAAGAUUGUUGAGAGAUCUUGGGUUUGGACCCCAGAAACCCAUGAAUUUGUAUUGUGAUAAUAAAGUUACAAUUGCAAUUGCGCAUAACCCUGUACAACAUGAUCGUACAGAGCACGUGGAGGUUGAUCGACAUUUUGUUAAAGCGAAGUUGGGUACUGAAAUUAUUUCCUUUUCGUUUAUCUUGUUCGAGUAUCAACUGGUAGAUGUUCUUACAAAAGCUGUAUCUACUACGGUCUUUCUCAACUCGCUUGACAAGUUGGACAUGCGUGACAUCUUUGCUCCAACUUGAGGGGGAGUGUUAGUGAGAUCCUAGCUUAAUUAGAAUAUUUAUUUCCUAGUUUAUUAGGAUUAUAUUUCUUUCCUUGUGUACAGAUAUUGUGUAAUUAGGAUUUUAACUUGUUUCCUAGUUUGACCAUACUAGAGUUACAUCCUUGUACUAUAAAUACCUUAUUUUGGAGAAUGAAAUAUAACCUGAAAAAUAUUCUACCCAUCUUGUUUGACUCACUGCUCGUAAGGCUAUGACAACUUCUACUGCAAUUUGUGUGAUGCAACUACGCUGGCAACAUCCUAUGCCUGGUAUUUUUAAGUUAAACACUGAUGGGAGUCGAAAGUCUGAGUUUGGCCUCAUAGGUGCUGGAGGAAUUAUUAGAGACUCUGUUGGUGUUUGGAUUAAAGGCUUCUUCAUGAAUCUUGGUGUGGGUUCUACAAUUGAGGCUGAAUGAUGGGGUGUCUUUUGGGGCCUCUGUUUGGCUUGGGAUUAUGGGUGCCGAAACAUUAAGGUUGAAUGUGAUGCUAGCAAUGCGGUUUCCCUCCUCUCUUGCCCAACUACUUUCACUCAUCUCCUCCUUAGUCUUAUUAAUUGCUGCAAGAAGAUGCAAGAAAACUGGAUUUAUUCCCUGAGGCAUGUCUUUCGUGAACAAAACUAUGUUGUUGACGUUCUUGCUAAAAUGAGCCAUGAGCUGGACCCUGGUUUCCAUUGUCUUGAUGUUCCCCCUCCCGAUGUCUAUGACACCCUUUAUGCUGAUUCUAGCAAUUUGGCUAGGACUAGAAUUAUCUCUCUGUAGUUUUCUUCGUUGCUUGGCCUCUGGCCCAUCUGUACCCAAAAAAAAAAAUUUCUUAUUUUGAUAUAAAAAAUAAAAAGAAAGCCCAAAUUCAAUUGGGAUUUUAAAAGAUUAUUUUGAGAUAAAUACGUCAUGUGGCAUUCAAUUAAGAUUUUUAAAUAAUCUAAACAAGUCUUGUGGUAUUCCAUUAAGAUUAUUAGAAUUUUUAAAUGAGGGUGUUGAACUCUAAUGGUAUUCAAUCACGACUUUAAACAAGUAACAAAAGUCUUAUGGUAUUCAAAACCUUGCUAAUUUCAAAUGAUUUUUUUAAAAUGUGAGAUUUUUUAGUAAAAGGUAUAAAUAUCAAGCCCUAUCUCAAAUUCCACGCUAACCCAUCAGACUUUUCACAUGAGAUUUAAAAAAAAAAAUUAUUUCCUCACCUUGACCUCCACCCACCGGGUAUAAACCAUGGCGACCAAAUCACCACUAAGGACCACUCGGUAUAAGAAAUGUUCUUUCCUCUCCUUUCCUCACAUGAAGACCAAACCACCUUCAAAACUAGAGCAACCUGCUGUUGGGGUAUAAGUUCGAACAUGUGGACCUCCACACAUCUAUUUGACAAAGCCCGAUGGCUAGGCAAAAAUUGCCCACCAUCUGUUCGACACAAGCCCCAAAAGGGCGCAGCUUCUGUUUAGAUUAGUUACUAGAAAAUCGUUAAUAGAAUUCUUGUUGUGGAAGAGGUUGGCAUUCAAAGGCAACUCACGUAUUUGGGAUGGUGGUGGUGUGGACCCAAAUGCGGUGGUGACGCAUGCAAAGGCUUGGCUGGCUGAAUAUCAGCAAGUGAGGGAUGACUUGGUCUCCAAUAUCCCACGCUCGGCUCCAAAAAGAAGGGUAGUUCCAAGAGAUGUUUUUGUUAAGAUUAAUGUGGGUGGUGCCUGGAAAGUUGAGGAUCAUAAUGGAGGUCUGGAAGUGGCGGUACGGGAUGAGCAAGGAACCUUCAUUGCAGCUCGUUUGCGGCCAGUUAGGACGGUAGGGUGUCCUACCCAAAUCCAGGCACUGGCUCUCUUAGCUGGGAUGCAAUUGAGUGUCUAUGAUAUUUUGAUUCAUGAUAUUUUGUUUCAAUAUUGUACUCCUAUUUGAGUUUCAAUGAAAUUUCAUCUUUUAUCAACAACAAAAAUAGAUUUUGAUACAAAUAAAAGAUUUUGACAGAGGUGAGAACCAAAAGCAUUGAAAUUGUUGGCAUUGAUCAAUGUGAUGUACUGAUAAAUAGUUUACUUGCAAAAUCCAUACAAAAUUGGAAUGCAACUCCAUCAAUACACAAAUGAGAGAGUGUGUGGUGACUGUGGGAGGGUGGGCUGCCGAGAGUGAAGGUUGGCUUUGUGGGUGUCGGGAUGGUGAAGAGAGCAUGAGAGCAUUUCCAGCAGCGGGGUUUUUUUUUUUUGGGGGGGGGGGGGCGGAUGCCGAGAGUGAAAGUUGGCUGGGUGUCGGGAUGGUGAAGAGAGCAUUUCCAGCAGUGGGGUUUUUUUUGGGGGGGGAGAGGGGGCAGCGGUGUGGGCUAAAAACUCGUUUCCAGCAGCAAAAGGAGGCCUAGGUGCGAGGUGGGACUCAACAACACGGGCUGGGCCGAGUGCUAGCCCAAGUGUCGAUGCUUACGUCAGCGCCCUGGCUGCACGCGCCAAUGUUAAAAAAAUUUGAACGCACCGCUACAGUGCCCGCCAACGGUUAUGUGCCACGUGUCGCGUCCUAGGCUCUCCGAUCAGAAUGUUUGCUCCAAUCCAACGGCAGCCAAUUUUUGUGUAAUAAAAAAAUGAAAAAAUAUCGGAAAAAAUUUAAAAAAAUACUGAAUUUUUUUCUAUAAAUACCAACCAAUACUCUUCACUUUUAAUACCAAAUCCUCAUACAUUUUCUUCUCCUUCUACUAUUAUUCACUUUCUACUCAAUAUUUUUUUCACUUUCAAGUUGUAUUUUUCUCUAUCAUAUUAUGGCUUCUUCUAGUGAAACCGGAGGGGCAUGCAACAUGAUGGAAGAUGUUUUGUUAUGUGAGUGUUGGGUCCAAAUUAGUCAUUGUCCCGUAACGGACAAUGAGAUGAAAUUUUGUCAUAUGUGGAAAAAAAUUCAUCAAGAAUUUUGUGAAAGGGCAAUUGGUUCGACCCAUACAGAAAUUGCAUUAUCUAGUAGGGGGAAAAUUCUCAAUAAAGAGUUGGUGAAAUGGAGAGAUGCCUUGGCAAAAGCGAUGGACAACCAUAGAAGUGGGGAAAACCUUAGCAAUGAGGUAAAUUAUUUGUAAUUUUCCUUUAAUUAAUUUCUAUGUCAUAUUAAAUUUUAUUUAAAUGUUUCUUGCAAUUUAUAUAUUUUGUUAAUAUUUCUUGCAUUUCUAAUAAAUUGUUAAAAUUUCUUGCAUUUUCAUUAUUAUUUUUAUAUUUGUUGCAUUGUCAAUAUUUUUUAAAGUUUCUUGCAUUUCCAUUUUUUUUUUUAUACUUGUUGCAUUGCCAAUAUUUUUUAAAGUUUUCUACAUUUCCAAUUUUUUGAUAUACUUGUUGCAUUGCCAAUAUUUUCUAAAGUUUCUUGCAUUUUCAAUUUUUUUUAUAUAUAGAUUAUGCAAGCACAAAUGUGGUAUGGAGCUACUGGGAAAGGCAAAAAAACUUUCAACCAUACCCAAUGUUGGGAGGCGGUGAAGAAUUGUAAGAUAUUCCGAAUUAUUCCAACGGGUCCGACAGUGGUGUUGAACGAGACGCUACUCCAUGAUUCACCGGCAUCAUAUUCACCUAUGGAUUCCCCAAUGAGUCAAGACUCACCUAUCGAAAAGGAGCCGAGGCCUAUUGGGAGGAAGGCGGCGAAGGCGGAGAGAGGGAGUAAUUCUACCUAGAAUGCAUCUAAAUUUUUGGGGGAAAUUUCAAGGCACCAAGCCAUGAGAAUUGAAAUGGACAUGAAAACCCAAGAGCACGAUAGGGCAAUGCAAUUAGAAUAUGCAAAAGAAAGGGAGUAUGUACGCCAACAAAACAUUGAAAAAACGGAUCGGGAAACCAUGGCUAUGGAUACAAGCCAUAUGUCCCUUGAAACAUAACAAUUUUGGAAGCUAGAAUGAAGGGAUGUUAUGAGACGAAGACUUUUUUGUGACGAUGGACCUAGCAACACGGAUUGGUUAAAUGAUCAAAACCAUUGAAUUAGUUUGCUUGCCUUUGAUUUCAUUGUAUUUUAUGUUUUAUUUAAAAAAUUAGUGGUAAUUCAUGUAUUUUAUUUUAUUAGUUGUAUUGAUUUUCUUUUAGUGAAUAAAGAAAAUAUUCAACAAAAUUCAUUUUUAUUCAAAAUAUUCCAUACAUAAAAAGCAAACCACAACCAAAGCAUAACUAGAAAUACAACAUAAACAUAAUAAAUUUAAAAAAACAUCUUCACUUCACAUCAUUCACCUUCAUUGCCUUUCACCGCCCAUAAAUGCUUCAUCAAGUCAACUUGGCGACGUUCAUGAAUAUACGACGAUUGCAUCUCCGUGUAGCGAUCAAUCAUCCAGGGCAUGAAAGUACCGUCCCUAACCAACGGUUCAUGCUGCACUGGUUCUCCAUUUGGCCCCAUGAGUUUUUUAUAAAUUCGUGUCAAGGCCGUGUUCAUGGGAUCUGGUUCAUACACUUCAUCAACAUCGUAAUCAUAUUCAUCCUCCACAAUCAUGUUAUGGAGGAUGAUACAAGUCAUCAUUAUGCUUCUAAGCACCUCCUCGUCAAAUAGACGCGUCGCGCCCCUAAUAAUAGCCCACUGGGCUUGGAGGAUACCAAAGCACCUCUCCACAUCUUUUCUGUAACCCUCUUGAUAGACAGCAAAAUAAUUUCUGCUUACGCGAUCGAGGAUGUGGAAUUGAUUUGGUCCACCUCGGGUAGAUGCCGUCAGCUAGAUAAUACCUAUUUUGGUAGACGAUAUUGUCGAUUUCAUAGGUGAUAUUUGGGGCUUCACCUCUCAAAACAUCAUUGAACACCGAGGAUUGACCCAGGACAUUCAAAUCUUUUUGAGAUCCGGCAACUCCGAAGAAGGCGUGCCAAACCCAUGUAUCGAAUCCAACAACUACUUCAAGGAUGAUACUUUCUGCCCUUUUCUAUUUCCGUAAUCCCCUUGCCAAGCAGUUGGAUAAUUUUUCCAUUUUCAGUGCAUGCAGUCAAUGCUACCAAUCAUUCUAGGAAAUCUUCUAGACUUAGCUUUUUGUAGAAGCCGUUGCAGGUCCUUGGGCGUAGGUCUGCGCAAGUAGUCCCUGGUGUACAGAGUUUUCCACUGCAUCACAAAAUCGCACCAAGCUCUCCAAAACAGUGGACUUCCCCAUCCGGACAAUCUCAUCCACCUAAUCAGCAAAUGACCCAUACGACAACAUUCGUAUCACAGCUGUGAACUUUUGCUCGGGAAGAAGUCCCAAAUUUUCAGCAACAUUUUUCUUUUGAACAAAGUAUUUAUCAUAAUUGCAAAUAUCAUGCAUUACUUUAUUGAACAAAAGGGGUUGCAUUCUAUAUCUCGCUCAAAAAUGCACAUCAGAGUAUAGAGAAUGUGAGAUAAAAUAAUCUUCCAGAAGAUUCUUACCCCGAGAAUGUCUAUGUCUGUCCACAUUCGGGCCACGCCCUUCUCGUGAACCACGGCGGCUCUAGUUUUCUUCAUCAAGCAAAGACACUACUAUGCCAAGUUACUCAUCUCGUUCUCUCUGCAACCUUUUGCUUGCAGCUCGUCUACGCGUUCUUUCUCUAGUUUCUCGCUCUUACCUCACCAAAACCUCUUGCAUGUCUGCCAUUGAGAAUGGAGAAUGAAAUCUAAAAUCUGAGAAAUGAAAAUGUAGAGAAGAUCUGGUGUGGGAGGUAUGAGCUGAGCCUUUAGUUUUAUAGAAAAAUUUAGGCAGAUAGAGAUGACACGUGGCGCAAUUUUAGAGGGUGAAAAUCUUAUCUGAAAUUUGAAAUUGAAAAUCUCAUCCGAUAUGAAUAGUAUUGACACAUAGGAACCCAAAAAUCUUAUCCAAAAAUAUUAUCCAAAUUAAUUGUUUAAGUAAAAAAAGUUGGGAAAAAAAACAAAUGAAUAGUAUCUGCCAUGGCAAAGGGCAACUGCUAGAAACACACAUUAAUAUGGCAAGGGCAGCCACUAUUCACAUGAAUAGUAGCUGCCCUAGCCCACCCUUGCCAUGGCAAGGGGCAAACUGCUAGAAGUGCUCUAAAAGAACCUUUUGCUUCUCUCUCUCCUCUCUCCUCUCCUCUCUUUUGCUACUUCAAGCAAUUGAACUCAGUCCAAAUUACUCACCAAUUUAAUGCGCCAAAUUCAGACCCUAAUCUCCAUCGCAUUGGCAAGUGCAAAAUCCUAACUCCACCAAUCAUCAGCAGCAAUGGAGCAGGUGAAGACCAUAGGGCGAGAGCUUGCGAUGGGCUCUCAAGGCAGCUUCGGCCAUUUCAAGGAGUUCCUGGACCUCGUCAAGUCCAUCGGCAAAGCUCGAUCCAAGGCCGAAAAAGAGCGCAUCUUGCUCCUCGAGAUCGAAACCCUAAAACGAUGUCUCUCCGAGCCCGAAAUCCCCAAGUGCAAAAUGAAGGAGUACAUCAUCCGCCUCAUCUACGUCGAAAUGCUCAACCACAACGGCUCCUUUGCCUACAUCCACGCCUUCAAGAUGACCCAAGAUCUCUUGCUCAAAUGCACUGGUUACCUCACCAUUUUGCUCUUCCUCAGUGACGAUCACGAUUUGAUCAUCUUGAUCGUUAACACCAUCCAGAAGGAUCUCAAGUCGGACAAUUACCUUGUCAUUUCCGCUGCUCUCAAUGCCGUUUGCAAGCUCAUCAACGACGAGACUUGCCCGUCCCAAGGAGGCUGUUAGGAGGGAAGAAGGUCAUCAUGGCGCUUCACCACUUUUAUCAGAAUAGUAGUCUUUGGUUUCGCAUCUGGUCUCGAAUUUCUAGAAGCGGCUUUGUGAUAACGAUCGGGGAGUUAUGGGUGCCACGGUCUGCCCCUUGUUCGAUCCCAUUACCAUCGAUGUGAAUUCUUAUAAGGAUUUGGUGGUCAGCUUUGUCAGCAUUCUCAAACAGGUCGCCGAGCGCAAGUUGCCCAACACCUACGAUUACCAUCAGUUCAGGUUUUACUUACUUUCAAUGAAGUUGAGCUUAUUAAUGUGGGAAGUUUUUGGUGUGAUAGAGGAAUUGAAAUAAUCAGCUUUGUUUGUUGUUUGUUGUAACGUAAUGUAGUAACGGAAUUAGUUUGAUAAUGCAGAUUAGAUUGUUGAAGAUCUUGGCAUUGUUGGGGAGUGGUGAUAAGCAAUCGAGUGAGAAGAUGUAUAUGGUAGUCAGCGAUAUUUUUAGGAAGUGCGAUUCUACCAAUAAUAUGGGAAAUGUUGUACUUUAUGAGUGUAUUUGUUGCGUUUCUGCCAUAUAUCCAAAUCCUAAUAAUCCAUGCUCAAGUAAUCUCAAUAUUUUUGAAGGUUUGAAGAUUUUGUAUUUUUCAGUGUAAUUUCCUGCAAAUUAUAGUCUGCAUGUAGAUUAUUUGGAGAGUUAAACACCAAUUCCUUGUUGUAUAUUUGGUGGACAGAGUGACAGUCAUAAUUUGGAAUAUAUGGGCAUCGAUGCCCUUGGUCGACUAAUAAAGAUUAGUCUAGAGAUAGCAGAGCAAUAAAUAUAUGGGCACUGAUUGCUUAGAGGUGAGAGAAUUUUGUUGGGUUUGAUGGAUUGGUUUCAAAUCAUGCAGGACCCAGAUGAUAUUCUGAAGCGAAAAACAUUUUAACUAUUGUACAAGAUGACCAAGUCCUCCAAUACGUGGAAGUGAUUGUGGAUCGUAUGAUUGAUAUUGGUUAGCAUUAAUGAUAACAAUUACAAAACAUAUAUAGCUUCUCCAUGUGUGGAGCGUGCGGAGCAAUUUCCACCAAGUAAUCAAUGGUUUAUCCAGGUAAGAGUAAUAUAUGUUGCCUUUUAUAUUCUAGUUAUUAAACACCCGAUGUCAUCCAUGCCUGAUACUCCUUCUCUUCAGACCAUGAAUAAAGUCUUUGAACAUGCGGGAGAUUUGGUAAAUGUCAAGGUGGCACAUAACUUGAUGAAGUUGAUUGCUGAGGGAUUUGGAGAGGAUGAUGAUUCUGCAGAUAAUCAAGGUGGCAUAUUAGUUAUUAUAUGGUAAAGAAAUGUUAUAGCAUGCCCCCCUAAAUUUUGUGAGAUUUCAAAGGUUACUGUUGAACUUUUGGUCAAUGUCUCCCUUAAAUAUUUAGACUCCUCAAAUAGUCUCAUCCAUUAACUUAGACCAUCAUCAAUUGAUGGGAAAAUCAUGGACGCAUCGUGUUAGGGAGGAUGAGUUUUCACGUCAAAGAAUUUGAAAUAUAACUUACAGGUGCCACGUGUUCUAGUUUGUUAUAAAAUUAUGUAAGUUACUCUGAAACCAUUUGAUGCGUAUAACGUUUGAGACCUCAGAGGUGGAUUUUUCCUGAGAUUUAAUUUACCUCAUUGGGAAUUGAAGCAUUACUCUAUGUUCGUUAUUUGUGAUGAAAAACAUUUUGGGGUUACAAAAAUUUCCAAGGGUUUUCGUUCUUUUUGCCAUUGAGUUCAACAGUCCCUAUAAAUUGAGGAUUAUAUGCUAGUAGUAUGUUUAGAACAUUUUGUGCAUUGCUUGCUUCUGCAUUUUGCCUUAAACCAUUUCCUUGCAGAGGCAUAUUCAAAUGAUGAAUCCGUCAAGGUAUCCCUCAAACUCAGUUUGGAGGAAUAGGGGUAUUCAAAUAUCACUGGGAAGUUUGUAAUUUUUUAGACUUUGAUUGGAAGGAAUAUUCCAUGCUUCUUAAAUUUGGUAAUGAGGUCAGGGAAUAAUUGUUUAAGAUGCAUAUAAGGGCAGUUUCAUUUACUUUCCCAAAUUUCGUUAUUUCAAUGACCUCAUGUAGAACCACUACCACAAUAAUAUAAAACCGUUAAAUGACGCAAAAUGAAAAAACCUUUGUGGUUUAAAAAACCAUUACAAACCAUGAUUGGUGUUAUAAUAACCGUCGUUAUGGAGUCCGAAACCCUUAGUUGAUUUUAAUAGCAUGACGGUUGAAAGAAGUCACUUUCGUCUUUCAAAUUAGUUGAUUUUAAUAGCACAACGGUUGAAAGAAGUCACGGUCGUCUUUCCAAGACGGGCUAAUGAAAAUUUUGCUUAAGUGAAUUUGCGGCCCUUCGUGAACCCCUCUAGUUCGCAUCUUUUCAAUCUCUAUCCAAAAGCUCCUGAUAAUUGUGAAGCUCCAAACCCUAGCCUCCUUUCUUUUGAAAUUCUCGGCCCUUCGUGCUCUUUGUCUUGUAGAUCUCGUUGAACCUAUGCUUCUUUAGAAAUAACAGACGGCAAUUCUUUUCAAAAAAUCGUUGUCUUUACAGUUAAUAGACAACGGUUUGUAGUAAAAGCGCAGUUUUUACAUUUAAUAGACGACGGUGCAUCAUCGUAGUUUGUCAUUCAAAAGAUGUCGAUUGAUAUAACAACGGUUUUCAAUGCAAAAAGACGACGGUUUUCCCCGGUCGUCUAUUUCAAUUUUUGUAGUAAUGAACCAAACUCUUUAGCCUGCCUAAACUACACAUAAAGCUUGUGCAGAUCAAACACACUUCCUCACAUGUAAAGAAAAUUGUGCUGGGGAAUCGUCCAGAUGUGACCCAUAUGCUGAACGUGUUUGCUAGAUAUUUUAUAGAGUGUUGGGCUGGGCUUUUCCCAAGGCCAUGGGUCGGUGAUAUUCUACUCUUCAGCAACUGGUCAGCUUGUUUUCGUCAAGCUGCUAGAAGCAGUUUGCCUGUUGCGUUUUUAACAAAGUAUUUGGGCAUUCUAAUUAACAUUGGGUUUUCUAAGCAAACUACUGUAUUCUUCCUAAGGCAUUGGGUCAUGUUCUCUCUCUCAUGCUAGCCCAUGUUUUUAGGGCCUUGAAAUGGGUUCAAGUUUUGGUGCUCCCAAGUAGCCCAAAAUUCUCAUUCCUUGAUCCCUUAAAUGGGCCUAGUGAAUGCUUGUAUCUAUCCACACCACAACUUUCUCAGCAAGCCCCAGGUAAUUUUCUGGCUUGGGCCUACUUAAACUUGUGGCAUAGCUUGGUGUUAGAAUAAUGGUUCUUCUUGCAUGACAUUUACGCUUGUGCUUGAGUUUUAUUAUUAUGCCGCAAUAGGCUAUAAUCAGGCCAAGUAACACCGAAUGGAUAUGCGAGCGUGGUUUUGUAAAGUUGGUAUGCUCUCGGCUCUUUUGUACGUGCUUGCUUGGCAUGAUAUGUGGCCCGUAGCUUGUAUUGUUGUGUCCUACAAAUUCUCUUUUGUCCCGAUUGAGCUUCCUUUGCGUUCAAUUAUUUGUGUUGGGCCAAGAAUUAAUAUGGGCUUAGCCCCUUGGAUUUUUGGCCCUCAACAUUAGCCCCAUUGAUUAUUGGGGCUAUGAGCAAAUAUUGAGAUGGGUCAAAUAAUCAAACCCGUCCCAAAAAGAAAAAAUCAAACCCAUGUUGUUGACGUGACCUUUUUGUUUCUCGCGUGUGUGCUGCCAUGAUUAUCUUCCAGCAGUCUUGCAUAUUCCCCAGGUACGCUUCCAUCAAAUCCAUUUUUUUUUAUUUCAUUUUAUUUCUUUCUUCUUUCCGUUUCUGAUUUUCUCCUCUGUGCGUGCAAAACCUGAGCUACCUGCCUAUUUCCUUUGGUUAUUGCUAGUUCAGGUCUAGAGAACCUUUGAGAAUGAGGAAUCAAAGGGAGGCAUCAUCCAUAACCGCUAGUUGGUCAUCACUUAAAUUGAUUGUUUCCAACUGCUCAGCUACUGCCGUCGAUCCAUCUUGCAUGUGCUUGGGUCUGUCAUUGGCUCUUGGAAAGCACAAGGCAAGGGUGCCUUGUCAUCUGGACUCCUACAGUUGCCUGCUUGCAUAGCUUCUCCUCCAUACUCUGGGCUCUCCCGUAGGAUACGGUUAAGCCCCCAACCCCGUCAUAAGCGGUACACAGUGCGCCCAUCUGGCAGCAUCACUUUCGAGCAUUGGGGAUGAUCGUAGGCAUGGUUGUUGACUUCCGAGUGUCUCUUUCUUUCUCGAUCAAUAAUGGUGAUGAGCUCCUCGUUGCUUAGAUCACGAAUUUCAGUCCAUGAAGGGAGAUACGUCCUGAAAUCCGUAGAUGAGUUGCUUCCAGCACCUGUGCAUUCGAUGUAAAAUUCUGCCUCGGAGCAGUGAGCUUCGUUUUUGUUGAAUGGUGCUUGAUUUCCAGGUAUACGAAGUGGCCUUAGUCCACAUUGUAAGUUCUAGUUAUCUUUUUUACUAUGAGAAGCCCUUUGUAAUUUUUGAUGGAUAAAAUUGAACAUUCGACAUCUGUAGUAGCUAUUCGGUCAUGCAAAGACAAUAAUAAUGCGCUUUAGUGAACAAAGAAUAAAGUUGUAAUUUCUAACGUCUUUUUCCUAGUUUCAAAGAACCAAAAUCCAUUUGCAAUCUAGACAAGAGUUCGAAAACUACAAAAUAUGGAUGAUACUAUCGCUACCCAUCAAACUUUUCAUCUUGCAGUUUCAAUUGUUCCAAAUCCCAUUUCGUGCCUUUUGCAGGAUUAUCAAAAUUCCUGCAGUUGAGUUGCAACAACUUCACAUGAUUUAGACAUGCUGGGAUUCUUGUACCUUGCCAAUACCAGCAACAUCAGUAGUAUUCUUGUACCUUGCCAAUACCAGCAAGAUCACUAGUAUAAUGAGACAUAAUCUUUCAACAGAAAUAUGUUGGACAUAUUUGGAUGCCUAUUUACAAUUAAUGUCUGAUUUUCAAUAAACCUUGAUUGGAAAUUAUGAAAUAGAUAAAUCUGUUACAUUUUGUCCCCAACAUACAUCAAUUCCAAUGAAUGGGAUAGAAGAAUCAUAGACAAAAUAUAUGUGUGGAAUGAAAGCAUUAGAUAAAUCCAGCUUUGUUCAUUCGCGGAUAAAUGCUGGAUGCAUCAAUUGAGAAGAAAGGUAUUGCCUUAUGCAACUUAAAAUGGAAUCUCAGAAAUUGCCGGCGCCUCAACACACCUCUUGAUUACUAAACCAUUACCGGAAAUUGGGUUCGUUUCGACAGCUGAACCUGGGGCUUACAUAAACCACUUUGGAACUUCAUUGCCUGAAAAUUUAAUAUCGAAUAUAGAGCGCUAAGAAAAAGGAUUAAACCCAACACAAAAAGAAAAAAAAACUCACACCCUAAAAACGACAACAUGUACCCCAGAGAUGCACAACAAAAUAUUGCUAAAUUUGAAUUGAACACAAAACGCAGAUAUAUGACCAGAAAAUGCAAAGAUAUCAUUCAAAAUUUAAUGGAUUUACAUACUUUGGCUCCUCAUUAGGAUCAAUGUGCCUCCUCUUUUGGUGAUCCGAUGGUCCUGUAAACAAGGUAAGCCCUUCAGCUUCAUGAUCACCAAUGUCGACGACGUUAGCACGAUGAUCAUCGUUAAGUGCCAUGUAAUCUGAUUGGCGAGGCCUCUUGCCAAGACUAGUCUUUGAUGCUAAAGACAAGGAAAGCAAUUCGCAGUCUUGGUGUUGAUCGUCAUAAAUAUCAUCAUCCACCGCCUUCGCAUCAGGUAACAACUGCGUUGGCCCAUGAUCAACAACAUCAGUCUCACUGACAUCAGCAACAUGGUGGCCUAAUAGGUGGACCCCGCAGGGAAUUUUAACGGGUGCGGGCACUUCGCCAGGCAAGUCAAAUAUAACUUCACACGUAUUAACCUGCAUCGUCGGUGGUUCUUCAAACCCGUACACAUGACUUUCCAAUAAUGGAAUAGACGUGAGGUACACAUGACUUUCCAAUAAUUCAACACAUUCGUCAUACAGAUGAGUUGUGUCUAAUUCAAAAUGUGCCACAUUGACGAGUUUUCCAUUGAGAAGAAUCUUAGCAGAACCAAUAUUACCAGCACAUAGAACCAAUCUUAACGUCUCCCAUUUUAAAUUUGGAGGAAUUUCAAAACUAACUUCACAUCCAGCAUCGUAUUCGUAACUCAAAAAUUCUCUAACUAUUGUUGCAUCUUUACAACAGCUGAACCACUUUGGAACUUCAUCGCCUGGAAUAAUAAUUUCGAAAAGAGAAUGCGGAGAAGAAACAGAAACCUGAUUCAGAAAAAUAUGUUCUGUGAUGUCGUAGCCGCGUAGUCUAACGCAAUUGGUCAAACUCAGAUACAUAUGGUCAUCCUUCCGCGGGAGUUCUGGAAUUUUCUCCAAUGAUGUGCAGUUAUCCAGCAAUACCCAAGCCAGUUUUGGAAUUUUUUCCAAUGAUGUGCAGUUAUCCAGCUCUACGAAUUCUAUUCUUCGUGGAAGCACUUGUUCUGGAAUUUCCAGAAGACUCUGGCAAUUAAUCAAAUAAAGAUUCCGCAAGUUGACAAAUUUGCUAAAGGAUAUCGGAAGAUUGACAAAAUUGCUUUGCGAUAGAAAAAGUUCUGUUAUUGUGGACCAGCAAUCAAGGAGCCGGAGGAAAUUAAUUUUUGAUAGAUUGCAUCCCAUGAGACUAAAUUGAUACAGGUUGGGAAGCAAUUCGGAGUUCACCGUAACUGUGAAGUUCUCACAAUAAUCAGCAUGUAAUAUUUCAAGACCAGUAAGAUAUGCAAUUGGUGAAGGCAAUUCUCUUACGCCACUUCCUGAUAUUCUCAAACCCCGUAGUGAUUCCAUCUCGACUUCUAUUUCCGGGAAACUCUCAAGGCUUUUGCAAUCACUAAGAUCAAGUUUUUCAAGAGAUUUCAAUCUAAGUGUUGCAAACCUUGUAAGAUUGAAGCAUCCACUAAGAUCCAAUUGUUGAAGCCCAGUAAGAUAUGCAAUUGAUGGAGGCAAUUCUCUUACGCCACUUCUUGCCAUAUUCAAUUUCCAUAGUGAUUCCAUCUCGACUUCUAUUUCUGGGAAACUCUCAAGCCUUUCACAUCCAGAUAGAUAAAGUUGUUCUAAGGAUUUCAAUCUAAGUGUUGUUCCAAACCUCAUAAGUUCAACGCAUCCAAAAAGAUUCAAUUCAACAAGUUUAUCAAGGAAUCCAACAGAACCAUCGACCUCAACCAAACGUGUGCACUCGCUUAGAUUCAAGUACUUUAUGUUUGGGAUUCCAGAUAAGUCAGGGAUUUUUUCUAAGAAUUGACAACCCCUUAAAUUCAUAGUUGUCAGAUUUGGCGAGUGCUGUGAGACAAGAACACAAAAACAAGAAAUAAUUAAUCACACACUUCAAAAGACAAAAACUUAGAAAACUAUUUUUCAUUUUUUUCCUUCUGAAAUUAACAACUCUAUUUAAAAUUAUAUAUAAUGAAUGAAAAUAAUUACAAAUGCAUACCUUAAAGUUAAAUCCAUCCAAUUGUCUGAUAUGACUACGAGGCAUAUUGAACUCAACAAGAUGAUUUCCUUGAAAAUUGGGUGGCAAAGAUUGUAACUGACAUCUAUCCCAAUCAAUCAAUCUUAAGGCGUUGGGCAGAUAGUUAAUGUGCCCACAUAGAGAUGCAUUACUGUUUAUGAAAAUUUCAAGAUUUACCAUAUUACGGAAGCAUUCUGGAUUUAAGGUUAUCUCAGCUGGGUCUGGAAGCUUCACCAUGAUGCCUUGAAUAUUUCUUGUUCCCUAAGAUAGAAAAGCAUUAACAUUAAAAAAUGAAGUCAUUUUACAAACCAAAAUGCAAGCACAUUUUGUUAAGAAAAUUAUAUAGGUUACAUAAGGUAUUCUUUAUUCUCAAAUUGAAUAUAAUAACAUAUGUGAUACUUACUGUACUUUCCGUUAGAAAUUGUUCAACAUCCUCGUAAAACCACAAUCUACUACGCUUGCCGGGAUCAUUGGGGGAUUCUUCGUGAACUAUAUCCUUGCCCAGUUUUUCUAGUAAGUCAUGCAUCUGAAUCGUACCAUAGUCAAUAGUUAUCAUUGCCUUCUCAAUGAGUACUUCAAUACAAUCUCGGGAGACCUUCUUCUUAGAAUUGCUUACUAUUUGUAGAACAUAGUCCUUAUCUUCACCCUUGAAGAAACAUGCGAUAUCUAGAAAAAAUUGUUGCAUGGAAUUUUCCAAGGCAUCAUAACUUUUUCGAAGUAUUUUUUGAAUACCUGUAUAUGGUUCUCCUUCAUAACUAUCUAAUAUAUCUUGCCAACGAUCUUUGUCUUUAUUAUGAAGAUGGGAACCUAAAAGUGUUAGAGCUAGUGGAAUGCCUUGAGCAUACGCUAGUGCACGUUGUGCAAGUUCCAAAUAAUCCUUUGGAGGUUUGCUGGUUCCGAAGGCACAGAAACUAAAAAGCUCAAGAGCUUGGUUGCCAUAUAACUUUUGGACCUCGUAUAUCAAAUCAAUUCCAUGACAUUUUAGCAAUCCGCUAUCUUGUGUAGUUGUAAUGACUCUACUUCCCUCACCAAACCAACCAACACCGGCCAAAUUGUCUAAUUGCUUCAAUUGAUUCACAUCAUCAAGAAUUAAGAGAAUUUGUUUAUGGCUCAACCGUUUUUUUAUGACACCAAUUCCUUCAUCAACACUAUGAAUUUUCCAUUCUCCGCCAAGAAUUUUAUGAAGAAGAGCCUCCUGUAGUUUGAUUAAGUCUCCAUCUGACAUUGAAUUUUCUCUAACAUUUGACAAGAAACAACUUCCUUCAAAUUUAUGUGCAAUUGCAUUCCAUAUAGCUUUUGCAAUUGUUGUCUUGCCUAUUCCAGAUGUCCCCCAUAUCCCAACCAUGCGACGACCAUUCCCACCAACAUCUAAAAGCUUUUCCACAUCUUGGACACAAGAUUGAAUUCCAACUGGGUACUUGGCCACAUUCCAAUAUGUGCAGCUCAGUACUUGGCUUAAGAUUCUAUCAACGAUGUUGUUGAUAAAUGUAGUUUCAUAC